AAGGAAAUCGUGCUAUGUGAAGAAGUUCAGGGCCCUAAAUUCACUGCAGUUCAGCUGCUUCUCCAUUCAAACAAUAGGUCAGUGAUUUGCCUUUGAUCUCACAGCUGUUUAGGAUGCAAUCAUUAACGAGCUACACACACACUCAGCCAAUGUGUGUGCGUCAGCCUCCUUCUCUCUAUGAGACCUUCAAGUACACACAGUAAAUAUGUCCAUGCGUGAGUCUCUCUCUGUCUAUGAGACCUGAACACACUUUGACCAUGUGGCUGCUUCACCACCUAUCUUCUCUCACAAACUUUGAGAUACAGACACAUUUUGGGCUUCAGAAAUUCUGCUCAUUGAGGACAUUAUGGAGUCUACAGAGGAUUUCUAUUCAUUUAAAUUGUCCUUAAUUUAAAAUCACUCAUUAUUUGUGCAUUUUUCAAUUCUUCUAAUAAAUUUAAACUCAUUCUUAUUCAAACCUUUCUAAUACUUUAGGAUUUUUUAUUAGUUAUAUUUUCCCCACUUUAAAUCAUUUUUACUAUUCAUGCAUAUUUCAAUUAUUCAACCAAAAUCCCACUUCCACUUCUACAACUACUACUUACAUCACUUCUACUUAAACUAGUCUUGCUACUAUUAGUACUAGAAAACAAUUAAAAUGAAUUGAUUGAACGACUGCCUUUCCGUGGUGUGAAGUAUGACAUUUCCGAGUGUCCCUGAACGCCUCAAACAUUUCUACCGUGACUUACGGGUGGCUCGCGCUAUCCUUCUCCUACCUCGACGAAGGUGAGUCAGAGCACAGUCUCUCUAACUUCUGAACACUUCAAACUGUGAUUUAACGUUUCAAAUGGCACUGGUUUGAGUUAUAAUCAAUGAAGAGUUCAUUCAUGAUUGAAGUGGUCGAGAUAAUGAGUUGAAAAAGCGUACGCUAACGCUGUUAGCGUCGAGUUAGCGCCGCUAGCGUCGAGCUAGCGCCGCUAGCGUCGAGCUAACAUUAAAGCUAACAUACCGUCAGCUGUGAGGCUGAAUCAUUAGCCAGCUGAGCACAAAAUGAAGUGAAUAUGUAAGCCGCUGCGCUACUAUAAAGCAUGCCAAAUGAUGUACAGGCUGUGGAGUUUACUGACAAUGGGACUGACAAGAAUACUCAUAUUGUCAAGUAUUAACUGACUAACUAGCUAACUAAUGACGCUAGUACCAUUGCUACAGGUUCAGUUCAUUACUGUGACUGAGUCAUUGCUGGGGAACUGGUCUGGAGACGUCAGCUGUUUAGCUCCUGGUCACUUUUUAUCAGCCAUUGUAGAUGUAUUUAAAUAUAGGCUGCAUUUAGCAAGCAUCCAGUUAUAACACAAAUGUGAGUGGUUUUUCUUUUUUUGUGUGUCAGAAUGGACCUAGAUGGUCCUCUAUUAUUGAAGGUUUUAUUCAUGAUGGGGAUGAUAGAGAUAUUUACAUUGCAAAACAUAAAAUUAAUUCAGUAUUUAAUGUUUAACAAUACCAAGUUCCAAUUAAUAAAUAUAUUCCAGUUGAAUUUCCCUUUAGGGAUCUAUAAAGUUCUUAAUAUUGAGUUAAUUAAUGGAUAUUUAGCUGCCUUGAAGUUGGUGAACCUGUGCCUGGUUUGUCUCUGUCUCACUGGCUGCUGCUGUACCUCACCUUCUACUGUACCUAACAUAUCUUUGAUCACAAGCUGUUAAUUUGGAUAUUGGUGAUGUGCUAACACCACAGCAAAGAUGCUUUAUCUGAGGUAUAAAUACUGUAAUACAGUAUGUAUUAUGUGACUUUUUCAGCUACAGCUAACAGCCAGGUGAUCUGUUGGAGCUGUUUAGUUUUCAAUUAGUCCAAUUACUGUAAUAAUGUUAGUUUUCUUAAAAGGCCUAUUGUUUUUAAUGUACUAUCUGUCAGACAACACUAAUGUAUUGUUUCUUGUCUCAAACAAACAGAAGAUACAUCCACUCCAGUGCAUUUGUUGGUAAGUAUCAGUGUUUUAACCAAGACUAACAACAGUCAAAAUAAAAAUAACCGCAUUAAUGUAAAGUUUAAUCCUGUUGAACAACUUGAUAUUCAAGAUAAUGUAAAAUAUAUGAUGCAUUUCUCAAAUACUGAGUUCAAAGUGAUAUGAAAUGUUGAUCUAUGUGUAACACUGUUGCAUAUACCAUAUGAGAAAUAGAGAUGGGAUACAGUUUUUUCCUUGUAGACAACCUUGUGCUAACAAUAUUACUACACUACUAAAUUAAUGUUUUGGAUCAUUUUAACUUGCAGGGAAAGUCUGAAUCUUAAUUUUGACAAUUAAGUGGGAAAAUCAUUCAGGAAAAGUACUUUAAAUGAAGUGAGCUGUGAGAGAGGCUCUUUUGACUGUAUUAAAAAUCUCUUCCUCUCUCUCCCCCUCCUCCUGCCUCAUCUUGUCCUCUGACCUGGGCGAAAAUCCCUACCAACUCUGAAGUGUAAGUUCACACUUGCGUAUACUUAUUUAGCAAUCACUCAAAUGUUACAUUUUUGCUCCGUAGUUUAUAAUGACAUAUCACGGUUUUGUAUUUCACCUCAUCAACAUACAGAAGAAAGUAAAGAGGUCUUUCAUCGUGUUUGUGCAUUGUCUCUCCAUUUUAACAAACAUUUUUUACAGGCCAAGGGAGCUGCAGUAACAUCCUUUUAUUAAUCAAGUGCGACAAAUUGUAGAGUUUGAUAAGAAAUGAGAAAACUAAUGAUCCACACUGAAAAACGGUUGUGAUUACAAUAAACUUUGAGAUGCUGAUUUUUUAUUUUUUAUUUUUUGCAACUAAAUUACAUUUUUUUUGUCCCUCCGUCUUCUCCCUCUUACUGAACUCCUCAACGCUAUUUCUACUGCGGGCCCUGUUCACUGUUGGCAACUCAGCUGUAAGUUCACAAAUAAAGUAACUUUAAAAUAUAUUUUCACUGCAACACAUUAUCUAAAAACCUGACCUAAAUAACACUUUAUUUUAACUAAUGCAGAACCAAAUGUAAAUAAUUUUGCUGGCUGAUCACAGUUGGAAUUCCAAUGCAGUGAGAUGUGCUGGUUUUGUACAAUUAAACUAAAAAUCUCUUGUCUCUGUUUUUCCAUUUUCCUUCUUGCCAACUCGAUACUGUCUCCAAGUGCAGACCGCUUUGUGGCGACUCGGCGUAAGUUAACACAGGAAUGACAUUUUCAUGAGUAACACAGUUUAUUAUUUAUUAACAUUUAUUGUUACAUUAUUCGACGCAUGAUAGACCCCUCAUCAUGUACUCACUUAACAUUUUUUUUACUUUGAUUAUGUAAUACUCACAGUUGGAAACAAACACCAUUGAAUUAUUGGUAGCAAUUUGUUACUAUAAAAUUGUGGGGUUGUAAUUUUUUAAUGAUGAAAAUUUGAAUAAUUACUAAUUGAAUGUGAUUCCUUCCUUUGUGCAUGUUUUAUAUUUAAAAAAAAAUCAUUUAAUUUUCCUUCAUAUGGAAUUAGACAAUUAUUAUCUAAACCACCAUUGAAUUAUUUUAUUAGUCAUUUAAUUAUACAUUUGCAAACGUGUAUAGGGGAGAGUGGGGUAAGUUGAGCCGAAGGGUAAGUUGAGCCACCCCCUGUUGCUUGGAAAUGGUAAAACAAAUUGAUCAUAUGACCAAGUAUUUAGGAGAUGGGCAUCAAUUCAUGGAGUCUGUGAAGGGGUUAGACAUUAAUAAAAAAAAACAAAAAACAUUUUUCAGUCUUGAAAGUGAAUUUAGUCUGUCAUAAGUUUUAUUGAAUUGUGUUCAGACCAAAAAAGAUCGUUUUAAAAUUCUUUUAUCCAUCAAUUGUAUCUAUGAGCUACAACAUAAAAGUCCACCAUUUUAGCUUAGAGGACUAAUAAAGUCAUAAUAGUAGUUCUGGGGUAAGUUGAGCCAGUGUCUUAACUGAGAAAUUAAAGGAGUAUGAUGAGAGGAUCAGAGUUUCAGUUCAGAUUGUUGAAAUGUGUUACUUUUUCUUUUCAGACAUAUAGCUGAGAAUGUUCUGAAUCACUUAAAGGCAUUCUCAUGUUAAAAUGACUUUUUACAAAACAGCUUUUUAUCAGUUAUAUGGAAUAAGAAUAAAAGAGUUAUUGUAUCAGUUGAAUAGCAUAUAAUAGAUAAAAAUACUCAUGAAUGUGAAGAAGUGACUGUCAUACAUGGGGUAAGUUCACCAUAGAGACCACUUUUUUUUUUGGCAUGCUAUGUUAUCAAGACAGUUCUGUUUACACUCAUUCUGUUGGUUUGCAGGGAUGCACAACAUCCUGAAAUAUAUGCAGAUACACUAGUUAGAGACAAAACUAGGAUUGACUUGAUGUAGUGAUCGGGAAUAUGAAAAAUGGCUCAUCUUACCCCACUCUCCCCUAUCCCUCUAAGGUACCUUGCAUGCUUCUGAGCUGCUUGGCCUCAUUACAACUUACUAUAUUGUAGAAAUGCUUUAAACACUAAAAAGGAAAUUGUGUUAUCCAAAACACAUUAAUAUUUCAUCAACAGAGUAAUCCAUUGUUUUUAUUGCUCACCAAGACAUGGUUAUGAACAUUAUAAAGGGAAGUUUGAAUGAUUUUGAAGAGUGUAAAAUAUGCAGGCAUAAAAGAUCUUUUUGUAAAAUACUUUAAGCUCCUGAAUACAUUUUUAAUGAACUCUUAUGAACACUUAGUCCUUAUUAAUUCUAUUGAAGGGUUAUCUAAGAAGACAAUGGCCAAUUCCAGCUUUUGACUCAACUUGACUUUUGAUAGAUGUAUAGUUAAAGACAGCCAUUUGGUGGGUUGAGUAAAAGCACAUUAUAAUGACAUUAGCUUUGGGUGAAUGUUAGUUCAUCUUAUUUUAUUUCUUUUAUAAAAAAAGAUUAAUGUUUGUUUCCAUUGUGUCUUACAGGUAUCCUGUCCAGUCUCCCAGCUCUCCCCUAUCAUUUUGGCCGCUCUGACUUUCCUGUCUUCUCUACCACUCUGUCUAAUUGAAAAGCCACUCUGUCUUGUGUCCCCCUUUUCUCUAUCCCUCUAGCUAAAUUUUGGACGCUCUGACUUUCCUGUCUCCUCUACCGCUCUAUCUAAUUGAAAAGCCACUCUGUCUUCUGCCCCCCUUUUCUCUAUCCCUCUAGCUACAUUUUGGCUGCUCUGACUUUCCUGUCUUCUCUACCGCUCUAUCUGAUUGACAAGCCUUCAGAAACCUAUAUAAAAGCCUUUGAGAAACCUAUAUAAAAGCCUUUGAGAAACCUAUAUAAAAGCCUUUCAGAAACCUAUAUAAAAGCCUUUCAGAAACCUAUAUAAAAGCCUUUCAGAAACCUAUAUAAAAGCCUUUCAGAAACCUAUAUAAAAGCCUUUCAGAAACCUAUUGAAAUUGCCUUUAUUGAAAAACCAUCUUAUGAAACUGCUUCCAUUGAGAAACCUUUUGAAACACCAUUUUUGAGAAACAUUUUAUUAAACCCUUUUUGAGAAACAUUUUGAUAAACCAUUUUUGAGGAACCUUUAUAAACCAUUUUUGAUAAACCCUUUUUGAGAAACCUCCUGAUAAACCUUUUGUAACACCAUUUUUGAGAAACCUUUUGAUAAACUGUUUUUGAGAAACCUUUUGAUUAACCUUUUUUGAGAAACAUUUUGAUACUGUUUUUGAGAAGCCUUUAGAUAAACCGUUUUUGAUUAACCGUUUUUGAGAAACAUUUUGAUAAACCGUUUUUGAUUAACCGUUUUUGAGAAACAUUUUGAUAAACCGUUUUUGAGAAACAUUUUGAUAAACCGUUUUUGAGAAACAUUUUGAUAAACCGUUUUUGAGAAACAUUUUGAAACACCAUUUUGAGAAACCUUUUGAAACAGUUGUUCUUCUAAUACAACCAUUAUUUUGAAAAAUCCCUAAUUUUGCAAAAGUCUGAUUGUUGUUCUAGGUUUUCCUCUCCUGUCUGUGGAUCCAGCAUUUCACCAGAAGAAGUGUCAUCAGCACAACCACAUCUGCAUCCCUGAUUUUGAAAGAACAUAAAAACACAUUUCAUAUAGAGUAUUUGAGUUAGAUAUUAUUUCAAGCACAAAGUCUGAAGAUUUACAAAUUGUUGCUGAUUUGUGUUUUUUCUGUUAAUCUUUAUAUAGUCUUGCCUAGGAUUUUCUUAUAAAACAUUUGAUAAACUAUUAUUGGCAUACACAUAGCUAUAAAUUAGAUUUUUUUUGGAGACUAUAAGAGCUGUUAAAUAACAUCCUCUCUUGAAGAAAUAAAGCAUUUUUGUCGAUACUGCUGCUUAUCUGUCACUUUUAAUUGUUGCAUAAACACGUUAAAGAACACCUACAAUGCCGAGGAAGAGUAAGAAGUCACAGGCUGCAAGCCAGCGCUGGCAGAGGGUUCAUGACAUUGACUUUGUGAGUACUGGACAAGCAGAUGGUGUUCCUCAGAGCAGUGGAGAGGUAAAGAGGUCUGAGGUGUCUGAAGCUGUGAAACAGGGAGGUGAAAAUGCAUCAUGUCAACCACAAAUAUCUCAUGCAGACAUGCUUAAGAGGAGACGUGUAAGUGAGUCACCUGCAGCAGGUCCAUCUAACACUGAACAGGUAAACCACAGAGGUGAAAGUAAUGAUCCAGGUGUACAACGGGUAACAUAUGCAGACAUGGUAAAGAGAAAACUUCCUAGUGUGUCACGUACUGCCGGUCCGUCCAACACUCGUCAGGUGAACUACAUAGCCCAAACUGAUGAAGCAUGUUCAACUCAGAUAUCGUAUGCAGACACUGGUAAGAAGGGAAAUCAUAAUUAUCAGUCAUUAUCAGCCUCUUCUCAGGAAGGAAAUAUGAACGCUGUUAAUCAGUCAGGUGAACAAAACGUCUGUGCGUCACGCAACCAAGCGUCUCUGAAAUACGGCCAAUCCAGAAACCAGCAGUGCACCUGUAACUCACUGACAUUUCUAGCAUUCCUGUAUGAGAAUGAAAACAUCACCAGAGCAGAUUUGGACCGUGUUUUGGAUAAAGGUAAUGCGAUGUACAGAGAAAUCAGAAAAACUGUUGAUCACGCCCAUCUGACAACUGAUGAGCUCCCUAACCAGGUUCCUGCACGCAGACACACGCAGAGAGUUGACAUGUUACAGCUGUCUAGAUACGGUACGUUUGGAGAUCCGGAUCCCGGAGCUGUUGAUACCUUUCUGGACCUCAUUUCAGGACUGAGCUGCUUAUCAACAGAUGUACAGUAUGCUUUGCUGCUAAUGACUUCGCUGUGUAUUGCAGUUUUCAGAACCAGAGAUGGCAGGUAUGGUUUCUUUGACCCACAUGCUCGGACAGCCAACGGUUUGCCUCUGCUUCAGGCCACACCUUAUCCUGGUACUGCUGUCAUGGUAACAUUCACACGCCUCAGUGACAUGAUUGACAGGCUCAUCAGGUAUCACCACAUAUUGGGCACAGCAGCGUCUUCUAAGUAUGAGCUUAAGCCAGUUGUGUUCUGUGAUGUGAACCCGAGUGAUGCUAUCCCAGCCACAGAAAGUCCGUCCACAAGUCUCUCUGUAACAACCACUGUGAUAAAUGAUGACACAAGUGCGCCACAGAUGAACACUGUUGUCCGUGAAAACACUGAACAUGGCAUGGAAACUGAACCAGAGCCACUAAUCAACUUCACUACUGUAAGUAAUGACACAUCACAGAAUGUUUCAAUUUUGAUGGAAAUACAAGCUCAUCAAUCAGGUCAGAUCAGCAUGAAUUCUGUCACAGAGGAAACUCAAGAGACACAAUCAAAUUUGACACAACCAUUUAUAACUAUCCCUGUUGCCAGUGACAAUGUUAUCCAUGACAUCGCCACUAAACUGUCAAAAUUAAGCAAAGAGCGAAAACUGAAAUUUAAGAGGAGACUAAUGAGAUCUGAAAAGACAUCACAAAAGAAAAAAGAUAAAAACAGGAAAGAGAGAGAAAAGUAUGCUAAGAAUGAAACAUACAAAGCAAAGAAAAAGUCUUAUUCAAGUAAAAACUAUUCUGUCAAUCCUGAAAUACAGACAAAGAAAAGAAAAAAGAUCACAACUAAAUACAGGGAAAGCACAGACUUCAGACUGAAGCAAAAAUUAUGUAUAACAAGAAAAUACAGAGAAAAUGUUGAAUUCAAAGGCAGACAAAAAGAAUAUAUCACUAAAAAAUACAGAGAAAAUGUUGUAUUCAAAGGCAGACAAAAAGACUAUAUCACUAAAAAAUACAGGGAAAAUGUUGAUUUUAAAGGCAGACAAAAAGACUAUAUCACUAAAAAAUACAGGGGAAAUGUUGAUUUUAAAAGCAGACAAAAAGAAUAUAUCAGGAGAAAAUACUCAGAGGACGUUAAUUUCAGGCAAAGACAGCGAUCCUACAUCAAUCAUCGAUAUGCAAACGAUGAAACAUUCUGUCACAGACACAGAGAGCUGAUGAGACAAUUAAUGCGAGACAGGUAUAAGACAAAUCUUGCAUACAGGACUAUGCAUAAAAUGAGGUGUGCAUUGAAAAUAUCAAAGAAAUACAAACAGAUAAGUAGACAAACAUGUGAGACUGACAGAGAGAGUGAAAACCCACUUAUUGAAAGUGCCAUAAAUGAUUUCCGAUCACACAUUAAAGCUGGUCCCACCCAUGUUUGCACAGUUUGUCACAAAGCCUCAUUUCCAAACCAGGUACAAAAGUGCAAGAGGUCCAACUAUGUGAAAAAUCCAACCAUGGUUUCAGCUUGUCUCAAAGGUCAGUACGUCCAUGCAUGUAACGAUGACUGCAGAAAUCAGUGCACUGUCCCUGAUGAGAGAAAGACUGAGUGGAUUUGUCACACCUGCCAUGACCAUCUGAAAAAUGGAGCCAUGCCCAAACUUGCCAUAGCAAACAACUUGGAGCUUGCUGACAUACCACCUGAGCUGUGUGACCUCAACAUACUGGAGAGACAUCUGAUAGCAAAGUGCAUAACAUUUGCCAAAAUCAUUCCUCUUCCCAAAGGCAGACAGAGAGCUAUACAUGGUAAUGUUGUAUGUGUUCCCUCUGAAGUCCAGGAAACAAUUCAGGCUCUACCAAGAUUGAGAAAUGAAUCUCAGGUGAUGAGAGUAAAACUGAAGAGACGCUUGAGUUACAGAGGUCACCAUCUGUUUCAGACUGUUACCUGGUCCAAGCUAGUGCAGGCUCUGCAUAAACUGAAAGAGAUACACCCCCAGUAUGAAGACAUCACUAUUAGAGAUGAGGAGGAGUUAUGUGACCCCACACUUCCUGAUGAUGGUGAUGAGGAUGAGGAUGAAGACGAUGGUAAUGAUAUUACAAUGAAUGAUGACGACUAUGAUGAUGAGGAUUUGAUGGAAAUUGAUAGAAUUGAGGCUGCUGCCAUGUAUGAGGCUGAAACUAAUGUUGAAACUGAGGAUGAGAACACAGAGCUGUGUGAUAAAAGUCAGACCCAGGACAAUGAUGAUCAGACACAACAACAGGAUGCAGACAUACCUAAUGGUGGUGUUGUUUUGGAGUCGUGCCUUCAACCACGUGAUGUUUCUGAGGAGAUAUUGUGUUUCAGUGACUCUACAUACUCAGUAGCUCCAGCAGAGAGAAACAAUCCGGUCAGUUUUUUCAAAACACCCAAACUAGAGGCCAUGGCGUUCCCUGUUCAGUUUCCCACUGGUGAGAAUACACUGGAUGAAAACAGACCCAUGAAAUUAUCACCCAGUAGUUAUUUUAAAGCGAGGCUCUUUGGUGUUGAUGAUCGCUUUGCCAGAGAUACCAACUACCUGUUCUUUGCACAGUUUGUGACUGAAAUACACUUGGCUACCUCCAGCAUGUCAAUACAGUUACGCAAAGGCAAACCUUUGACCAGAGACGGACGUAAAAUAACAUCCAGAAUGUUGAGAGACAAAUACGAAGUGGAGAGACUGGUGAGAAACAGAGAUGCUAUCAGAUUUAUGCAGCCGCUCAGAGGAACACCAGCCUACUGGGACAAAACUACAAAAGAUCUGUUUGCUAUGAUCAGACAGUUGGGCAGUCCUACUUUCUUUGUCACAUUUUCUGCAGCAGAAAUGCGUUGGCCUGAGGUGAUUAUUGCAAUAAAAUCACAACAAGGUGAGGAGGUGAAUUUUGAAGAGCUCGACUGGUCCACAAAGUGUGACAUUCUGAGAAGCAAUCCUGUGACAACGAUGCGCAUGUUUGAUAAGCGUGUUGAAGCACUGUACAGAGAUCUGAUCAUGUCUCCUGCACAACCCCUGGGCAAAGUUUUUGACUUCUUUUGGCGUCUCGAGUUUCAGCACAGAGGAAGUCCUCAUAUACAUGGUCUUUUGUGGGUAGACGGUGCACCUGUGUUUGAGAGAGACUCUGACAAAACUGUGUGUGACUUUGUGUCCAAACACAUCUCUGCUCAGCUCCCUGACCCAAAUAAAGAGCCUGAACUGUACAAAAAGGUCAAAGAAGUGCAAAUACACAGUAAGAACCACUCAAAGACAUGUUUCAAAAGUGCAAGUUCUGGAUGCCGAUUUGGAUUCCCAAAACCACCCUCCAGACAGACAAUGAUAACCAGACCUGUGGGUGAUGAUGAGGAGUCAGAGAGACUUAAGAGAGCCAAAGAGAAACUUGCACCACUGAAUCAGCUGCUGAAUGAGACACAAACUGAAUCCAUGAGUUUUCAACAGCUCCUGUCCGUCUGUGACUUAACCGCUGAUGAGUAUGAGAAACACAUGAAUGUGAUGAGUCAGUCCAGCAACAUCAUUCUGAAGCGUGAGCCAAAAGACUGCUGGGUAAACACCUACAACCCUCACCUGCUCAAAGCUUGGGAUGCAAACAUUGAUGUGCAGUUCAUUCUCAGCUACUACAGUCUGAUCCAUUACAUAUGUACGUACAUGUGUAAAAGUGAGAACUCUGUGAGCCAGUACCUGCAAACACUCAUUCAGAACUCCGACAGAGAAUGUGUCAAUGAAUGUGAUGAAAUGAAAGCAGUCAUGCAGGCGUAUUCCAAAAAGCGAGAAGUAUCAGCACAAGAAGCUGUUGCCCGGGUGACUUCACUGAACAUGAAAAAGAGCUCACGCAGUGUGGUUUUUGUCCCAACUGAUGACAACCCAGUGAAAAUGAGUCUGCCUGUGUCAAGCCUUGACAACACAACACCAGACAGCUUGAAUGUGUGGAUGACAUCCUUAACAGACAAGUACAAAUCCAGACCUGAAUCACCAGAGUUUGAAGAGAUGUGCAUGGCUGAUUUUGCGUCUACCUGCAGACUGGUGUAUGGACAACAGACCAAGGGCAAGAAAGUGGUACCUUUGCUGAAUGAACUAGGCUUUAUACAGAGACGAGAAAGUGACAACGCUGCUGUCAUCAGGUAUCGCCGCAUAUCCAAAGAGAAAUACCCUGAGCAGUUUUACGGCACAUUGCUUAGACUGUAUCUUCCAUACAGAUCAGACGAUGAGCUGAAAAGACCAUAUUUUCCCACGUAUGAGUCAUUCUAUGAGAGAGGUGUGGUUCAGCUGCCGUAUUCUGACCGACCCCUGAGUGUGAAACUCAUCGUGAAAAGAAACCGAGAGAGAUAUGAAAAAAACAGUGAGGAAAUUGACUCUGCUCUCGAGGACUUUGAACAGAACAGAGGUGUGGUCGAUGAAUGGUGUAAUUUGGCACCUGAAUCUGAACUGGUGAGGUUGGAGUGUAUCGAUGAACUGGAUGCCAGACAGUGUGAAAAUGUCCAAGAGGAUGUACCGGAUUACAGCAGACAAUCAAAUGCUGCUACAGAGACCAGAGUCAUGAGAGAGCCCCCUACAAUCGAUCCCACACGGUUACGACAAAUGUAUCAGAAUCUGAACCAGAAACAGGCGUGUGUGUUCUAUGCAGUGAGAGACUGGUGCAUAAAACGAGUCUGUGGACAACAACCAGAGCAGUUUUUCUAUUACAUCAAUGGUGGUGCUGGCACUGGAAAGUCACAUCUCAUUAAAUGCAUUCAUUCAGAAGCAUCAAAGAUUCUGAGAACACUACCUAGACGUGCUGAGGAAGCUGACAUCUCAAACCCGACUGUGCUGUUGACUGCUUUCACUGGAACUGCAGCCUUUAACAUCUCUGGAACAACACUGCACUCUCUCCUCAAGCUGCCCAGAAGUUUGAAACCUCCUUUUCAAGGUCUUGGGAACCAACUUGAUGAAAUCAGGUGUGAGCUUUUAAAUGCUGAAAUCAUCAUCAUUGAUGAAAUCUCCAUGGUGUCAAAGCCACUUUUUGCCUAUGUGGAUAUGAGACUGAAACAGAUUAAAGGCAGCCACAGACCCUUUGGAGGAAUGUCAGUCAUUGCUGUUGGAGACUUUUACCAGCUACCGCCUGUGCGACAGUCCAAACCACUCUGCGUCUAUGAUCCAAGUGAACUUGACCUCUGGAGAGACAACUUCCAGGUGAUCACUUUAGAUGAGAUCAUGCGACAGAAGGAUGACAAAACUUUUGCCGAGAUGCUGAACAGACUCCGUGUGAAAACAAGGUCAGAUGAGCUUUCUGAAGCUGACAGAGCUCUGCUGUCACAGCGUGUCACUGAACCACAACUGUGUCCCUCUGAUGUCCUGCACAUUUUUGCUACAAACAAACAAGUCGCAGAACACAACUCUGCUACACUAUCUCUGCUCCAUUCUGAUAUCACCACCAUUGAUGCAGAUGACUUUAAAAAGGACCCACACACUGGACACAUGAAAAGACAAGGUGCACCAUGUCAUGGAAGCAGAAAUGAUCUACCUGACACCCUAGAUGUUGCAGUAGGUGCUAGAGUCAUGCUUACCAGAAACAUUGAUGUGUCUCAAGGAUUGGUGAACGGAUCAUUUGCUACAGUAGGCCGUCUCAUAAGCUCUGAAAACAACGGUUCUGCUCUUGUCACUAUGCUUGGUCUCAGGAUGGAUGAUGAAACAGCUGGCAGGAGCUAUCGUACUAGAGGAGACAAUCUUGUGUACAUCGAGAGAUCUGAGGAGGCUCUGCAACAGAAAGGAGUGGUACGCAGACAGUUUCCUGUGAAACUUGCCUUUGCAUGCACGAUACACAAGGUUCAAGGUAUGACCAGAAAAUCAACUGUUGUCUCUCUGAAGCACAUUUUUGAGCCCGGCAUGGCCUAUGUAGCUAUCAGUCGAGUGACCUCUCUCAGCGGACUGUACAUGCUUGAUUUGGAUGAGAGUAAAAUCCAUGCUAACCCUGCAGUCACUGUAUCUUUGGAGACCAUGACGCAAGCUAACUUUGAUCACCUCAUGCCUUUUCUCCAGAUCCAGCAUUCUCUCAGCAGACAGGACACUGUGAGCAUCAUUCAUCACAACACUGAAGGAUUACCUGCUCAUGUGAAUGACAUCAAAAGCCAUCAUGAACUGUGUCUUGCAGAUGUUUUGUGUCUGACAGAAACUCACCUACAGGGCUCCUUUGUGGCAGACAGUCUCCAGUUUGAGGGCUACACCAUGUUCAAACGCAACAGACAUUUGUCCUACACUAACUUUCCACAGAUGGCCAGUAAAGGAGGUGGUGGAGUCGCUGUUUAUGUGAAAAACCAUUUGCAGGUUGUGGAGAAACAGUACCUGAAUAAUGUGACUGACCUUGAGUUUGUGGCUUUGAAGGUUGAAUCUCCUGUAAGUGCUCUGAUUGCAGCUGUGUACAGACCUCCAGACUACAGUGUGCCAUCAUUCCUGUCCAAUCUGGGAAGCCUUCUGGACUCACUUGAGAUCAUGGACUGUCACCCUAUCAUUGUCUGUGGCGAUUUCAAUGAGAAUCUCUUUUCUAAUGCAAGUAAGCCAAUUUUGGAUUUCUUUCAGUCCAAGGGAUAUGGUCAACUGAUCACUGCUGCUACAACGGACAAGAACACACUGCUGGACCUGAUCUUCAUCUCACGACCUCAGCUAUGUCUCUCCUCAGGUAUCAUGCAGACGUACUACAGUUACCACAACGCCACUUACUGUGUCAUUUCAUCCAACAGAUCAUAGAGGAAACUGCUCUGAAGGAAAAGACAAACUACAGAAGCUGUGGUGAAUGUUCUGCUUGAAUUUUCAGUACAGACUGAAAUGUGUUUGGUGAUUGUGAGUAAUUGAGUGCAAAAUAUCUUUUUAUGGCUUAAUUUUUUAGAGAGGAAAUAUUUUUCAGGUUGUAAAAUUUUCAGCUAUUUCAAUGUAAUAUGUUAUAUUAUUUGAGUUGUGCAUUUGUCAUGUGCAGUGAAGUUAAUCCUUUUAACACACAAAUGCAGCAAUAUCUCUUUACAUAUCAGGCAAACCUACUACAAUAACCACAAUACUACUUACUGUGUAAUUUCAUUCAGCAGAUCACAAAGGAAAACGGUUUCAAGGGAAACACAAACUACAGAAGCUGUGCCUAAUGUUAUUCAUAUUUUAAGUACAGAUCGAAAUGUGUUUGGUGAUUGUAAAUUUUUCUAGUGCAAAAAAUAUUUUUAUGGCUCAGAAUUUUUAGAAAGAAAAUAUUAUAUUAUAAUAAUAUUAUUUUAUAAUUAUAAACUAAUUUUCCAACUAUUCAAAUGUUAUAAAUUACAAUUUUUGGCCUGUGCAUUUAUCAAGUCCAGUCAAGUCAAGUUAAUCCAUUUAACUUGACUUGACUGGACAUAGGGAGGGUGGGUGCGGAUUGAUAAAUGCACAGGCCAAAACUCUCAGCUGCUGUGUACAAUAAUGUAUACAGCAGCAAAAAUUAAAAACCUCCAUCAGAAAGUGUGUGUUCCCUAAUGAACACACACUUUCUGAUGUUCUGUGACCUACCAGCUGAAACCCCCCUUUUCUCCACCCAACUUUACACCACUCUCUUAGCAUGGGUGGCUGUAAGUACACUAGGGCAAACAUAAGAUUCCUUUCCUUUGGGUAUGUUUUGUUUCAUUUUAUUUUAUUUUUUCAGUUGUAUCCUACAUCUUUGGCCUGACCUCCAUUAGUGAUGUCCAAACUAGCUCAAUGUUAACUGAAAAAAUUAUCAAACUGUCAACCAAAAGUAAACACAUCACCUGUAGGUACAGUAGAGUAAAGCUAAGUUUCCUUUUGUUUGGGUAAUUUUUUUUUCUUCUUCAGUUGUCUCUGCCAUCUUUGACCUGACCAUUAGUGCUGUCCUGACUAGCUCACUGUGAGCAGAAAAAAAUUAUCAAACCGUCAACCAGAAGUAAACACAUCACUUUGGACAACUCAAAGACACAGUCUACUUGCUGUUUAACCCAGUCUUUGGUCGGAGGUGAAGAAGAGAUGACAUCCUCCACACCAUCCCCCUGCUGCUCUCAACAACCAUCAUCGCUGUGCUGGACAGACUGCAGCACCCACCAGGACCGUUCUCUCAUGGACUACACAAACAUGUGUUUUACCUGCUCGUGCUCCAGAUGUCCUGAAGCAGCUCUCAAGGACCACCAGACACCAGGCUGAAGCAGAACUGAUGCUGUAGUACCUGUCACUCACUUGGCUCGUUCCUGCUGAACCUCCAAGAGAUAAACCCCUCUUCAAGAAAGUCUGAGGUAAUGUCUUAGUGAACUUGUGUUCAUUUAUUUUUUCUUAGUUAUCUUAGCUGCUGUAUUAAUGCUUGUGAUGCUAUUGUACAGCUCUGCUGAUAUCAUCGUCUUUAACAGCAGUGUUUUCUCCCAGGUCUUCUUCAAGCCAGAUAAGAGAGGAAGAACAGCUUAGACACUCAGGCAGCUGAACGCACCAAAGGUGGACAUCAUGCAGCCACCCUGAGCCUUGAGCCUCUCUGUGUGAGGAAGCUUUGCUGCUGCAGACCUGGUGAAGUUGCUCUGGACAGAAAUAUUUUUUGCUCUGCUGCAGUGCUGAAGGUAUUCAUUGUAAUGAUGUGUGUAUUUAUUCAACAUGUUUAGUUUCACAGAUUAUCAACACAAAUGUUUCUGUUUAUUUCCUGUUUUGAACCAGCUACAUUCUCCUACUUCAAGUCACUGUCUGUUCAUCCACGGUGUAGCCAGUGCAGCUCAGCAGAGUCCUACUAAUGGUGAUCCUUCAAGUCCUGCAGCCCUAUGAAGCAAGCUGCAGCAGAUGUCAACACAUUCAGAUCAUCAGUUUAUCUUUACUGCAGCUUUAAACUUUUCACGAGGUAACGGUGUAUUUCCUUGCCCCAUAACAAAAACCAUGUUUGACCAACAUAGGAAAGCACAGAAUUAAUGUUAGCACAGGAUUACAGAGUUAAAGUGAAGGGGAUUUUGUUUGUUUUUUUCAGACCUCUCCUCCUCCUGCCUCUGACUCCAGUGAUGCUGUCAACUCGAACACUGAUAACUGCACACGGCGAUCCUACAACCACAGGUCAAAGGUCAAAACAAUACCUCACUCUAAACCUUCACUCUGAACUGUACAAGGCUCUGCUUUUGGUUUUGAAAAAAAGUGCCCAGACAGAACACAGUACUCACUUGAGGAACUGACUGAUUGUCUUCAGGACAGGACAACUAUUACUCUUAUAUUGUUUUGAAUCCUGUUUUCUACAUUAAGUGAUCGGUUGUCGAUAUCUGUUAAUAUUUUAAGUUUCCUUUAUGUUUCUUGGACUUUAUUUGUUCUAUUUUAUUUGAGUAUUUUCUUCCCCUUUUACUGUGUAUCUGUCCUUAUAUCAAAAGAUGACCAACACUGAUGAAGGGAAAAAAUACCAGUUACUUCAGUUGUUGCAGGCAGCUGAAUUUCUCGCUUUAAUAUGCUCACCAUAUCCCUCAAAUUUACCUACAAGAGAAGUCGUGUUUUAGAAAUAAAUGAUGUACUUUGGGUUUCAGCUGGUAGGUACACUGAAAUUUUUCACGUGUGCUUAGUCUUGGGCUAAUGUUUUGGACAGAAGUGAUCCCAGCAUUGCAGUGUGAAACAAUCCCUGCUGAAGGUUGUCGUCACAAUCCUCAAACACAGGGCUUGGUUAAACGAGCUGUGUGAAGGGAUUUCAUAGAGGAACAAAGUUUUUAUGCUUAUCCUUAAAAUGUAAUUCUCCAUAGUAGAAAACUUUUUAAAAAGAAACUAUCAACGUGAAGACAACCCAGCAUUUCAGUAAGACAAGUAGUGUGAAUGUUUGGAUAAGAAAACACUGGUAUCUAAAAUGCUGACCAGAUUGUCAGUCCACUACAAUGAGCUGGUGACAGUAUUAGCCUUGGUCUAACUACUGUGAAAAGCCUUUUGGGUGGUAAGGUGGACCACUACAUGCUAUAAAAAAUACUUCAGUGCCAUAUUUAAUUCAUACGCCUUUCACCUUACUUUGCCUGUAUAUUUCCACAAGCCUGGAUAACUUUGCACCUUUUGCAUUUGCAUUCUCUACCUUACCCUCCACGUUAUUUUAAAUUUUAAAUUUAGAUUUAAUUAAAAAAAUAUAUUUUAAUUUCUGUAAAAGACUUCUGUACUACACUGUACAGUAAACUGCUGAGUUAUUUUUGCUGACCAGAUUGUCAGUCCACUACAAUGAGCUGAUGACAGUAUUAGCCUUGGUCUACUGUGAAAAGCCUUUUGGUGGUAAGGUGGACCAAUUCAUUACAUCAAUUUAUUUCAAGUUAUCAAAUCUACUUUUUAAUCUGAUCAUUUUAGAUUUUGUUUAAUGUUUCAGUUUUAUAUCAUUUAAUUUUAUUUAUUAUUAUAAUCAUUUAUUAUUCUAUAAUUUUCUUUUUUUCUACAUGAGAGGGCCCACAUUUCACUGCAGUUAGCUUUAAAAAAUACUACAAUGCCGUAUUUAAUUCAUAUGCCUUUCACCUUACUUUGCCUGUAUAUUUCCACAAGCCUGGAUAACUUUGCAAUACUUUGUAAUACUGCUGACCGAUUUUAGUAACAUUUUUUUUUAUAACUCUCAAGUCACCAUUUUCAUAUUUUUUUUUAACGUAUAGGUAUAAAGGUUUUUCAGAUGUGCGAACUUAGUCUUAGGCUAAUCUAAACCCUUAAAAACACACAUAACAGUCCUGUAUCAGACUUUGAAAUCAAAUUUCAAGGUCUGUUUUUAAAGCCCACAACACAGGACUUGGCUCAAUGGGCCAUGACAAAUUUUAUGAGCCAACUUUUGUUAAGGCUUAGUAAUCCGAAAACACAAGAAAAGAGGUGAAUGUGGGUACAGGGCUGCUGGAGUUUGAAUCCAGUAAAUAAUGGGGUGUUAGCCUCAGUCUAACAACUGUGUGAAGAGCCUUUAAUGAUUGGGCUAAACAAUUUUAGAAACAACUGAAAAUGUGAUACCUUUGUCCAUCAACAAUCACAGCAACUACAAUCUUAAAACCUUAAGCUUAAGAGACAGAUUGGUCACCCAUGUAAAGAUUUCUUCUUCCAAAACCUGUUCACAAACAAAUUGUUUAUAAUUUGAUUUAAGGCACUAUGGAGCACUAUUUCUUUAUGUGUUUAUGUUUUGAUGUUUUUUGUUUUUUUUUAUUAUUAUUUUAUAUUUUAUGAUUAAUCAUUUCAUUGCUCACAAAAUGUUAAAGAAUUGACAAAAAUAUUUUUCUUUUUUUCUUUGUUUUGGUUUUACUUAUGUAAAAACUCAAUUUGAAUUUUCAAGUUGAUUCAAAUUUUAAAUUAAAAAUAUUUGUGUAAUGUAUUCAUUUCUCAUCUACAUUCAUUUCUACUUCUUCCAACAUGAAGGCCUUUUCAGCCAUCUUUAAAAUUCUUUACCAUAUUUUCUGUAAUGUUCAAGUUCAGUUCUUUAGCAAUUUGAAUAUUCAUACAGCUACUGGUUUACCUCUCCCAGUGUUUUUACAUCCAUACAACUCAUCUCUUUUUCAUCAUCUUCUUCUUCAGUUCUGUUACGGUUGAAACAUUCAUACAACUUCUACUUAUAACACUUCACCCCUUUAACAGUUUUUUCAUUUAUACCUUCUCCAUUUAUUACUGGCAGUUUAGCAUUGCUUUUUCGUCUUUCAGCACUCAGCAUUUCCACGCAUUUUCUGCAAGGAAAUGCAAUUUUUCUAGUAUUAUACUUAACACUCUCCCCAUACGUUUCUUUGGACCGCUUCUCCUCCUUCAAACUUUGUCCGAUUUCAACCGUUCAAACUUUAAACUAUUCCACUCCAUCAGGACAUGUGUGCUUGUAUUUUUUUCCUUUCUAUCCUUUGUACUUUUUAUUAUUUUUCACUUUUUGUGCCAAACUUUUUUUCCCAUAGAAACGAAUGGGGAAAUCUUCCAAUACUUCCUGUUAUUCGUCCACCUUCUAAGCCUUAUAACUUCAGCAUACUUUCACCUAGAGACCUCAUUUUUGCUUUAAAAUGUUCAUUGUCUUGUCGACUAUUGAUGUUGUAUUAAUUUUGUGCUAUCUUUUACAGUUUUUCCACAAUUUAGCUUUAUGCAACUCGUGGUUUUUCAGCAAAUUUCAGGCUUUAUAAUAGGGGUGUAUUGGAGAGGCUAGAGUGAUGAUUUGAAAAGCUAGAGUGCAGACCUCGUCUCUGAUCGACAGAACCUCGCUCGAAUAUAUCGCUCCCACGCCCACAAAUCUCACUCCACUGACACAAAUAAUACAUCAAAAUGGAGGUAUAUGUGUCCUGCUUCUCACAAAAGAGGUUUCAAAUCAUUAAAUCGUACCCCUUGGCCAGCAGGUGACCAACUGUCCAAAAAGGCGGAAAUCUCUCCCAUUGGCCCUAAUGUUAUUUUUUCUCCAAGAAAAUCCGGAUCAUCCACUCAGGCUCAGACUUUUUUAACUCGCUGUUGUGGCCACAUUUUUCGGAGUACAGACAUGAAAAACACAUCAUUGUGUUCAUGAAGGGCGGAGGAUUCGUACGAUGUUCUUAUUUUCAUUCUGGGAUUUAAGGAAAUCACGCUAUGUGAAGAAGUUCACAGGCUUUAAAUCCUCUGCAGUUCAGCUGCUUCUCAUUCAAACAGUAGGUCAGUGAUUUGCCUUUGAUCUCACAGCUGUUAGGGAUGCAGUCAUUAACGAGACACACACACACACACACACACACACACACAUUCUUGUACUUGUUGCUUUAUGAGGUCUACCUUGCAGUUCAGCUGCUUGUACACACAGUUAAUAUGUGUCUGCUUCGCCACCUAUCUCCACCCACAAACUUUGAGCUACAGAAACCAUUCUGGGCUUCUAAAAUUCAGCUCAUUGAAGAUAUUAUGGGGUGUUUUGAGGAUUGUGAUAAUAAAUUAUAUUAAUGUGUUUAGCAGAGUCUUGUGUUCUCACAAGCUCCUUAUCAGGAAUAGAUACAGAGGAUGAGCGUCAGGGCCUACUUGGAGUCCUGUUUCCUUAGCUUCAAGCCUUCUUUCUCCUGCUAUAGUUAUUCAUCCAAGGUCCCCAUGGCAACCAAUUAGUGCACCUGGAGACACACAGCUGACUGGAAAGCUGCUUCUAAUGGCCAUAUGAGACACAUGAAGCCAGGCUCAGCACACAUAGCACUGGGGAUGACACUUAAAACCCUUUACUAGAGCGCUUGAAAAAACUUCAGCCCCUAUCUCCUCACAUGACCUUUGACCUACAGAAACCAUUCAGGGCUUUAAAAUUUGAGCUCAUUGAGGACAUUAUGGGGUGUAUUUAGGAUUUAUAUACAUUUACAUUUUUCACAUUUUAAAGUCACUCAGUGAUGAUUUAUCAUUUAAUUUUUCAAACUAAUUUGAACUGAUUCAAACUGAUUCAAACCUUUCUAAUACUUAAAAAAUUAAACUUAUGCCACUUCCCACCUUCCUGCCUUUUAAGGCAAUUUCCUUCUUCAUUCAAACUUUGUGCAAUUUUAGACAUUUUUCUAGCCUCUUUCAGCAUGAAUAAAAUUUCUUUUUAUAGAGCAUAUUCAUACUAUUUGUCCUUCAACCAAUUAAUCAAUUAUCCAACUUACAUUUCUUUCACACCCCUUCAACAGCUUUAACAUUUAUACCUUUCUCCAUGUUUUAUUAGCAGUUUAGCAUUGCUUUUUCAGCUUUCAGCACUCAGCAUUUCCACGCAUUUUCUGCAAGGAAAUGCAAUUUUUCUAGUUAAGUGGAAAUGCUGAUUAAGCAUUUCCACUUAUUGUUAUUCUCCUGUUUCUUUAUUAAACUUAUUAUUCUUCCGUCCCUUUUUUGGACCGCUUCUCCUCCUUCAAACUUUGUCCGAUUUCAACCGUUCAAACUUUAAACUCUUCCACUCCUUCAGGACAUUAUGGCUAUUACUUUUUACUUUUCUACCCUUUAUACUUUUUGUUUUUUUUAACUUUUUGUGCAAAAAUUUUAACAUUGAAGUCAAUGGGGAAAUCUUCCACUUCUUCCUUUCAUUCUUCCACCUUCUAGACCUUAUAACUUCAGCAUACUUUCACCUAGAGACCUCAUUUUUGCUUUAAAAUGUUCAUUCACUUGUCGACUAUUAUAGUUGUACUCAGUUUUUUGAUAUCUUUUACAGUUUUUCCACAAUUUAGCUUUAAGCAACUUGUGGUUUUCAGCAAAUUUCAAGCUUUAUAAUGGGUGUGUAUUGGAGAGUUUAGAGUGAUGAUGUCAUCAGCUAGAGUGCAGACCUCGUCUCUGAUCGACAGAACCUCGCUCGAAUAUAUCGCUCCCACGCCCACAAAUCUCACUCCACAGCCAUAAAUAAUACAUCAAAAUGGAGGUAUAUGUGUCCUGCUUCUCACAAAAGAGGUUUCAAAUCAUUAAAUCGUACCCCUUGGCCAGCAGGUGACCAACUGUCCAAAAGGCGGAAAUCUCUCCCAUUGACCAUAAUGUUAUUUUUCUCCAAGAAAAUCCGGAUCAUCGCUCAGGCGCUCAGACUUUUUUAACUCGCUGUUGUGGCCUCAUUUUUCGAAGUACAGACAUGAAAAACACAUCAUUGUGUUCAUGAAGGACGGAGGAUUCGUACGAUGUUCUUAUUUUCAUUCUGGGACUUAAGGAAAUCACGCUAUGUGAAGAAGUUCACAGGCUGAAAUUCACUGCAGUUCAGCACCUCUCAGUCAAACAGUAGGUUAGUGAUUUGCCUUUGAUCUCACAGCUGUUUAGGAUGCAGUCAUUAACGAGACACACACACACACACACGCACACACAUUCUUGUACUUGUUGCUUUUUGAGGUCCACCUUGCAGUUCAGCUGCUUGUACACACAGUUAAUAUGUGUCUGCUUCACCACCUAUCUCCACCCACAAACUUUGAGCUACAGAAACCAUUCUGGGCUUCAAAAUUCAGCUCAUUGAAGAUAUUAUGGGGUGUUUUGAGGAUUGUGAUAAUAAAUUGUAUUAAUGUGUUCAGCAGAGUCUUGUGUUCUCACAAGCUCCUUAUGAAUAUAUACAGAGGAUGAGCGUCAGGGCCUACUUGGAGUCCUGUUUCCUUAGCUUCAAGCCUUCUUUCUCCUGCUAUAGUUAUGCAUCCAAGGUCCCCAUGGCAACCAAUUUGUGCACCUGGAGACACACAGCUGACUGGAAAGCUGCUUCUAAUGGCCAUAUGAGACACAUGAAGCCAGGCUCAGUACACAUAGCACUGGGGAUGACACUUAAAACCCUUUACUAGAGCGCUUGAAAAAACUUCAGCCCCUAUCUCCUCACAUGACCUUUGACCUACAGAAACCAUUCAGGGCUUUGAAAUUUAAGCUCAUUGAGGACAUUAUGGGGUGUAUUUAGGAUUUAUAUUCAUUUACAUUUUUCACAUUUUAAAGUCACUCAGUGAUGAUUUAUCAUUUAAUUUUUCAAACUAAUUUAAAAUUCAAACCUUUCUAAUACUUUAAAACUUUCUGAUACUUGAGGAUUUUUAAUUAUUUAAAUUUUCCUGUUUUAAAUUAAUUUUAAUAUUUAUGCAUUAUCCAUCCUUCAAACAAAAUCCUACCUCAAGUAUUACAACUACUGCUAAUGUCAAUUAAACUAGACUUUCCCCUCUACUUCAACUGCUAUUGCUCCUAUUUCUACUUUCUCUACUGCUGCUAUCGCUACUAUUUCUACUUUCUCUACUACUUUGACUUAUACUUCUUUAUUCUCAAACUACUUCUACUGCUGACAGACUACUAGUAUCACAACUUGACUUCUUAUCAUACUACUUCUAGUACUACAACUUAAACUUAUGCCACUUCUCACCUUCCUGCCUUUUAAGGCAAUUUCCUUCUUCAUUCAAACUUUGUGCAAUUUUAGACAUUUUUUUAGCCUCUUUCAGCAUGAAUAGAAUUAUCUUUUAUAGAGCAUAGUCAUACUAUUUGUCCUUCAACCAAUUAAUCAAUUAUCCAACUUACAUUUCUUUCUCACCCCUUCAACAGCUUUAACAUUGAUACCUUUCUCCAUGAUUUAUUAGCAGUUUAGCAUUGCUUUUUCAGCUUUCAGCACUCAGCAUUUCCACGCAUUUUCUGCAAGGAAAUGCAAUUUUUCUAGUAUUAUACUUAACACUCUCCCCAUACGUUUCUUUGGACCGCUUCUCCUCCUUCCAAAUUUGUCCGAUUUCAACCGUUUAAACUUUAAACUAUUCCACUCCAUCAGGACAUGUGUGCUUGUAUUUUUUUCCUUUCUAUCCUUUGUACUUUUUAUUAUUUUUCACUUUUUGUGCCAAACUUUUUUUCCCAUAGAAAUGAAUGGGGAAAUCUUUCAAUUCUUCCUGUUAUUCGUCCACCUUCUAAGCCUUAUAACUUCAGCAUACUUUCACCUAGAGACCUCAUUUUUGCUUUAAAAUGUUCAUUGUCUUGUCGACUAUUGAUGUUGUAUUAACCUCUUUGUGCUAUCUUUUACAGUUUUUCCACAAUUUAGCUUUAUGCAACUUGUGGUUUUCAGCAAAUUUCAGGCUUUAUAAUAGGGGUGUAUUGGAGAGGCUAGAGUGAUGAUUUGAAAAGCUAGAGUGCAGACCUCGUCUCUGAUCGACAGAACCUCGCUCGAAUAUAUCGCUCCCACGCCCACAAAUCUCACUCCACAGCCAUAAAAAAUACAUCAAAAUGGAGGUAUAUGUGUCCUGCUUCUCACAAAAGAGGUUUCAAAUCAUUAAAUCCUACCCCUUGGCCAGCAGGUGACCAACUGUCCAAAUAGGCGGAAAUCUCUCCCCAUUGGCCCUAAUGUAUUUUUCUCCAAGAAAAUCCUUAUCGUACUCAGGCUCAGACUUUUUUAACUCGCUGUUGUGGCCACAUUUUUCGGAGUACAGACAUGAAAAAACACAUCAUUGUGUUCAUGAAGGACGGAGGAUUCGUACGAUGUUCUUAUUUUCAUUCUGGGACUUAAGGAAAUCACGCUAUGUGAAGAAGUUCACAGGCCCUUAGUUCACUGCAGUUCAGCACCUCUCAUUCAAACAGUAGGUCAGUGAUUUGCCUUUGAUCUCACAGCUGUUUAGGAUGCAGUCAUUAACGAGACACACACACACACACACACACACACACACACACAUUCUUGUACUUGUUGCUUUAUGAGGUCUACCUUGCAGUUCAGCUGCUUGUACACACAGUUAAUAUGUGUCUGCUUCACCACCUAUCUCCACCCACAAACUUUGAGCUACAGAAACCAUUCUGGGCUUCAAAAAUUCAGCUCAUUGAAGAUAUUAUGGGGUGUUUUGAGGAUUGUGAUAAUAAAUUGUAUUAAUGUGUUCAGCAGAGUCUUGUGUUCUCACAAGCUCCUUAUAUGAAUAUAUACAGAGGAUGAGCGUCAGGGCCUACUUGGAGUCCUGUUUCCUUAGCUUCAAGCCUUCUUUCUCCUGCUAAAGUUAUGCAUCCAAGGUCCCCAUGGCAACCAAUUUGUGCACCUGGAGACACACAGCUGACUGGAAAGCUGCUUCUAAUGGCCAUAUGAGACACAUGAAGCCAGGCUCAGUACACAUAGCACUGGGGAUGACACUUAAAACCCUUUCCUAGAGCGCUUGAAAAAACUUCAGCCCCUAUCUCCUCACAUGACCUUUGACCUACAGAAACCAUUCAGGGCUUUAAAAUUCAAGCUCAUUGAGGACAUUAUGGGGUGUAUUUAGGAUUUAUAUUCAUUUAAUUUUUUCACUUUUAUAACUCACUCAGUGAUGAUUUAUCAUUUAAUUUUUCAAACUAAUUUAAACUCAUUCAAACUGAUUCAAACCUUUCUAAUACUUAAAAACUUAAACUUAUUCCACUUCUCACCUUCCUGCCUUUUAAGGCAAUUUCCUUCUUCAUUCAAACUUUGUGCAAUUUUAGACAUUUUUCUAGCCUCUUUCAGCAUGAAUAAAAUUUCCUUUUAUAGAGCAUAUUCAUACUAUUUGUCCUUCAACCAAUUAAUCAAUUAUCCAACUUACAUUUCUUUCUCACCCCUUCAACAGCUUUAACAUCUAUACCUUUCUCCAUGUUUUAUUAGCAGUUUAGCAUUGCUUUUUCAGCUUUCAGCACUCAGCAUUUCCACGCAUUUUCUGCAAGGAAAUGCAAUUUUUCUAGUAUUAUACUUAACACUCUCCCCAUACGUUUCUUUGGACCGCUUCUCCUCCUUCAAACUAUGUCCGAUUUCAACCGUUCAAACUUUAAAAGAUUCCACUCCUUCAGGACAUGAUGGCUAUUACUUUUCUUUUUUCUACCCUUUAUACUUUUUAUUAUUUUUCACUUUUUGUGCCAAACUUUUUUUCCCAUAGAAAUGAAUGGGGAAAUCUUUCAAUUCUUCCUGUUAUUCCUCCACCUUCUAAGCCUUUUAACUUCAGCAUACUUUCACCUAGAGACCUCAUUUUUGCUUUAAAAUGUUCAUUGUCUUGUCGACUAUUGAUGUUGUAUUAACCUUUUUGUGCUAUCUUUUACAGUUUUUCCACAAUUUAGCUUUAUGCAACUUGUGGUUUUCAGCUAAUUUCAGGCUUUAUAAUAAGGGGUGUAUUGGAGAGGCUAGAGUGAUGAUUUGAAAAGCUAGAGUGCAGACCUCGUCUCUGAUCGACAGAACCUCGCUCGAAUAUAUCGCUCCCACGCCCACAAAUCUCACUCCACAGCCAUAAAAAAUACAUCAAAAUGGAGGUAUAUGUGUCCUGCUUCUCACAAAAGAGGUUUCAAAUCAUUAAAUCUUACCCCUUGGCCAGCAGGUGUACAACUGUCCAAAUAGGCGGAAAUCUCUUCCCAUUGGCUCUAAUGUAUUUUUUCUCCAAGAAAAUCCUUAUCGCCACUCAGGCUCAGACUUUUUUAAUUCGCUGUUGUGGCGACAUUUUUCGGAGUACAGACAUGAAAAACACAUCAUUGUGUUCAUGAAGGGCGGAGGAUUCGUACGAUGUUCUUAUUUUCAUUCUGGGACUUAAGGAAAUCGUGCUAUGUGAAGAAGUUCAGAACCCUAAAUUCACUGCAGUUCAGCAGCUUCUCCAUUCAAACAAUAGGUCAGUUCAUGCUUUGAUCUCACAGCUGUUUAGGAUGCAAUCAUUAACGAGACACACACACACACACACGCACACACAUUCUUGUACUUGUUGCUUUUUGAGGUCUACCUUGCAGUUCAGCUGCUUGUACACACAUUUAAUAUGUGUCUGCUUCACCACCUAUCUCCACCCACAAACUUUGAGCUACAGAAACCAUUCUGGGCUUCAAAAAUUCAGCUCAUUGAAGAUAUUAUGGGGUGUUUUGAGGAUUGUGAUAAUAAAUUGUAUUAAUGUGUUCAGCAGAGUCUUGUGUUCUCACAAGCUCCUUAUGAAUAUAUACAGAGGGUGAGCGUCAGGGCCUACUUGGAGUCCUGUUUCUUUAGCUUCAAGCCUUCUUUCUCCUGCUAUAGUUAUGCAUCCAAGGUCCCCAUGGCAACCAAUUUGUGCACCUGGAGACACACAGCUGACUGGAAAGCUGCUUCUAAUGGCCAUAUGAGACACAUGAAGCCAGGCUCAGUACGCAUAGCACUGGGGAUGACACUUAAAACCCUUUCCUAGAGCGUUGAAAAAACUUCAGCCCCUAUCUCCUCACAUGACCUUUGACCUACAGAAACCAUUCAGGGCUUUAAAAUUUAAGCUCAUUGAGGACAUUAUGGGGUGUAUUUAGGAUUGUUAUUCAUUUAAAUUUUUCACAUUUUAAAGUCACUCAGUGAUGAUUUAUCAUUUAAUUUUUCAAACUAAUUUAAACUCAUUCAAACUGAUUCAAACCUUUCUAAUACUUCAAAACUUUCUGAUACUUGAGGACUUUUGAUAAUUUAAAUUUUCCCUGUUUUAAAUUAGUUUUAAUAUUUAUGCAUUACUCCAUCAUUCAAACAAAAUCCUACCUCAAGUACGACAACUACUGCUAAUGUCAAUUAAACUAGAACUUUCCCCUCUACUUCAACUGCUAUUGCUCCUAUUUCUACUUUCUUUACUACUUUGACUUAUACUUCUUUUAUUCUCAAUGUACUUCUACUGCUGACAUGACUACUAGUAUCACGACUUGACUUCUUAUCAUACUACUUCUAGUACUACAAUUUAAACUUAUGCCACUUCUCACCUUCCUGCCUUUUAAGGCAAUUUCCUUCUUCAUUCAAACUUUGUGCAAUUUUCGACAUUUUUCUAGCCUCUUUCAGCAUGAAUAAAAUUUCCUUUUAUAGAGCAUAUUCAUACUAUUUGUCCUUCAACCAAUUAAUCAAUUAUCCAACUUAUAUUUCUGUUCACCCCUUCAACAGCUUUAACAUUUAUACCUUUCUCCAUGUUUUAUUAGCAGUUUAGCAUUGCUUUUUCAGCUUUCAGCACUCAGCAUUUCCACGCAUUUUCUGCAAGGAAAUGCAAUUUUUCUAGUAUUAUACUUAACAUUCUCCCCAUACGUUUCUUUGGACCGCUUCUCCUCCUUCAAACUUUGUCCGAUUUCAACCGUUCAAACUUUAAACUAUUCCACUCCUUCAGGACAUGUGGCUAUGUACUUUUUCUUUUCUACCCUUUAUACUUUUUAUUAUUUUUCACUUUUUGUGCAAAAAUUUUCCCAUUGAAAUGAAUGGGGAAAUCUUCAAAUUCUUCCUUUAUUCUCCACCUUCUAAGCCUUAUAACUUCAGCAUACUUUCACCUAGAGACCUCAUUUUUGCUUUAAAAUGUUCAUUGUCUUGUCGACUAUUGAUGUUGUAUUAACCUUUUUGUGCUAUCUUUUACAGUUUUUCCACAAUUUAGCUUUAUGCAACUUGUGGUUUUCAGCAAAUUUCAGGCUUUAUAAUAGGGGUGUAUUGGAGAGGCUAGAGUGAUGAUUUGAAAAGCUAGAGUGCAGACCUCGUCUCUGAUCGACAGAACCUCGCUCGAAUAUAUCGCUCCCACGCCCACAAAUCUCACUCCACUGACACAAAUAAUACAUCAAAAUGGAGGUAUAUGUGUCCUGCUUCUCACAAAAGAGGUUUCAAAUCAUUAAAUCGUACCCCUUGGCCAGCAGGUGACCAACUGUCCAAAGAAGGCGGAAAUCUCUCCCAUUGACCGUAAUGUUAUUUUUCUCCAAGAAAAUCCGGAUCAUCGCUCAGGCUCAGACUUUUUUAACUCGCUGUUGUGGCCUCAUUUUUCGAAGUACAGACAUGAAAAACACAUCAUUGUGUUCAUGAAGGACGGAGGAUUCGUACGAUGUUCUUAUUUUCAUUCUGGGACUUAAGGAAAUCACGCUAUGUGAAGAAGUUCACAGGCUUCAAAUCCUCUGCUGUUCAGCUGCUUCUCAUUCAAACAGUAGGUCAGUGAUUUGCCUUUGAUCUCACAGCUGUUUAGGAUGCAGUCAUUAACGAGACACACACACACACACACACACACACACACAUUCUUGUACUUGUUGCUUUGUGAGGUCCACCUUGCAGUUCAGCUGCUUGUACACACAGUUAAUAUGUGUCUGCUUCGCCACCUAUCUCCACCCACAAACUUUGAGCCACAGAAACCAUUCUGGGCUUCAAAAAUUCAGCUCAUUCAAGAUAUUAUGGGGUGUUUUGAAGAUUGUGAUAAUAAAUUGUAUUAAUGUGUUCAGCAGAGUCUUGUGUUCUCACAAGCUCCUUAUGAAUAUAUACAGAGGAUGAGCGUCAGGGCCUACUUGGAGUCCUGUUUCCUUAGCUUUAAGCCUUCUUUCUCCUGCUAUAGUUAUGCAUCCAAGGUCCCCAUGGCAACCAACUUGUGCACCUGGAGACACACAGCUGACUGGAAAGCUGCUUCUAAUGGCCAUAUGAGACACAUGAAGCCAGGCUCAGUACACAUAGCACUGGGGAUGACACUUAAAACCCUUUCCUAGAGCGCUUGAAAAAACUUCAGCCCCUAUCUCCCCACAUGACCAUUCAGGGCUUCAAAAUUUGAGCUCAUUGAGGACAUUAUGGGGUGUAUUUAGGAUUUAUAUUCAUUUAAAUUUUUCACAUUUUAAAGUCACUCAGUGAUGAUUUAUCAUUUAUUUUUUCAAACUAAUUGAAACUCAUUCAAACUGAUUCAAACCUUUCUAAUACUUAAAAACUUUCUGAUACUUGAGGAUUUUUAAUUAUUUAAAUUUUCCCUGUUUUAAAUUAGUUUUAAUAUUUAUGCAUUACUCCAUCCUUCAAACAAAAUCCUACCUCAAGUACGACAACUACUGCUAAUGUCAAUUAAACUAGUACUUUCCCCUCUACUUCAACUGCUAUUGCUCCUAUUUCUACUUUCUCUACUACUGUGACUUAUACUUCUUUUAUUCUCAAACUACUUCUACUGCUGACAUGACUACUAGUAUCCCAACUUGACCUCUUAUCAUACUACUUCUAGUACUACAACUGAAACUUAUGCGACUUCUCACCUUCCUGCCUUUUAAGGCAGUUUCCUUCUUCAUUCAAACUUUGUGCAAUUUUAGACAUUUUUCUAGCCUCUUUCAGCAUGAAUAAAAUUUCCUUUUAUAGAGCAUAUUCAUACUAUUUGUCCUUCAACCAAUUAACAUUAUCCAACUUAUAUUUCUUUCUCACCCCUUCAACAGCUUUAACAUUUAUACCUUUCUCCAUGUUUUAUUAGCAGUUUAGCAUUGCUUUGUUAGCUUUCAGCACUCAGCAUUUCCACGCAUUUUCUGCAAGGAAAUGCAAUUUUUCUAGUUAUUAUUAUUAUUAUUCUUCCGUACCUUUUUUGCAACUUUUCAACUCCUUCAAACUUUGUCCGAUUUCAACCGUUCAAACUUUUAAACUAUUCCACUCCUUCAGGACAUGAUGCGGCUAUGUAUUUUUCACUUUUCUACCCUUUAUACUUUUUGAUAUUUUUGACUUUUUGUGCAAAAAUUUUCCCAUUGAAAUGAAUGGGGAAAUCUUCAAUUCUACCUUUUACUCCUCCACCUUCUCAGCCUUAUAACUUCAGCAUACUUUCACCUAGAGACCUCAUUUUUGCUUUAAAAUGUUCACAUCUUGUCGACUAAAUAUUGUAUUCACUUUUUUGUGCUAUCUUCCUACAGUUUUUCCACAAUUUAGCUUUAUGCAACUUGUGGUUUUCAGCAAAUUUCAAGCUUUAUAAUGGGUGUGUAUUGGAGAGUUUAGAGUGAUGAUGUCAUCAGCUAGAGUGCAGACCUCGUCUCUGAUCGACAGAACCUCGCUCGAAUAUAUCGCUCCCACGCCCACAAAUCUCACUCCACUGACACAAAUAAUACAUCAAAAUGGAGGUAUAUGUGUCCUGCUUCUCACAAAAGAGGUUUCAAAUCAUUAAAUCGUACCCCUUGGCCAGCAGGUGACCAACUGUCCAAAAAGGCGGAAAUCUCUCCCAUUGACUGUAAUGUUAUUUUUCUCCAAGAAAAUCCGGAUCAUCGCUCAGGCUCAGACUUUUUUAACUCGCUGUUGUGGCCUCAUUUUUCGAAGUACAGACAUGAAAAACACAUCAUUGUGUUCAUGAAGGACGGAGGAUUCGUACGAUGUUCUUAUUUUCAUUCUGUGACUUAAGGAAAUCACGCUAUGUGAAGAAGUUCACAGGCUGAAAUUCACUGCAGUUCAGCUGCUUCUCAUUCAAACAGUAGGUCAGUGAUUUGCCUUUGAUCUCACAGCUGUUUAGGAUGCAGUCAUUAACGAGACACACACACACACACACGCACACACAUUCUUGUACUUGUUGCUUUUUGAGGUCCACCUUGCAGUUCAGCUGCUUGUACACACAGUUAAUAUGUGUCUGCUUCACCACCUAUCUCCACCCACAAACUUUGAGCUACAGAAACCAUUCUGGGCUUGAAAAAUUCAGCUCAUUGAAGAUAUUAUGGGGUGUUUUGAGGAUUGUGAUAAUAAAUUGUAUUAAUGUGUUCAGCAGAGUCUUGUGUUCUCACAAGCUCCUUAUGAAUAUAUACAGAGGAUGAGCGUCAGGGCCUACUUGGAGUCCUGUUUCCUUAGCUUCAAGCCUUCUUUCUCCUGCUAUAGUUAUGCAUCCAAGGUCCCCAUGGCAACCAAUUUGUGCACCUGGAGACACACAGCUGACUGGAAAGCUGCUUCUAGUGGCCAUAUGAGACACAUGAAGCCAGGCUCAGUACACAUAGCACUGGGGAUGACACUUAAAACCCUUUCCUAGAGCGCUUGAAAAAACUUCAGCCCCUAUCUCCUCACAUGACCUUUGACCUACAGAAACCAUUCAGGGCUUUGAAAUUUAAGCUCAUUGAGGACAUUAUUGGGUGUAUUUAGGAUUGUUAUUCAUUUAAAUUUUUCACAUUUUAAAAGUCAGUCAGUGAUGAUUUAUCAUUUAAUUUUUCAAACUAAUUUAAACUCAUUCAAACUGAUUCAAACCUUUCUAAUACUUCAAAACUUUCUGAUACUUGAGGACUUUUGAUAAUUUAAAUUUUCCCUGUUUUAAAUUAGUUUUAAUAUUUAUGCAUUACUCCAUCAUUCAAACAAAAUCCUACCUCAAGUACGACAACUACUGCUAAUGUCAAUUAAACUAGAACUUUCCCCUCUACUUCAACUGCUAUUGCUCCUAUUUCUACUUUCUUUACUACUUUGACUUAUACUUCUUUUAUUCUCAAUCUACUUCUACUGCUGACAUGACUACUAGUAUCACGACUUGACUUCUUAUCAUACUACUUCUAGUACUACAAUUUAAACUUAUGCCACUUCUCACCUUCCUGCCUUUUAAGGCAAUUUCCUUCUUCAUUCAAACUUUGUGCAAUUUUAGACAUUUUUCUAGCCUCUUUCAGCAUGAAUAAAAUUUCCUUUUAUAGAGCAUAUUCAUACUAUUUGUCCUUCAACCAAUUAAUCAAUUAUCCAACUUAUAUUUCUGUUCACCCCUUCAACAGCUUUAACAUUUAUACCUUUCUCCAUGUUUUAUUAGCAGUUUAGCAUUGCUUUGUUAGCUUUCAGCACUCAGCAUUUCCACGCAUUUUCUGCAAGGAAAUGCAAUUUUUCUAGUUAUUAUUAUUAUUAUUAUUAUUAUUCUUCCGUAAUUUUUUUGCAACUUUUCAACUCCUUCAUACUUUGUCCGAUUUCAACCGUUCAACUUUUAAACUAUUCCUCUCCUUCAGGAAUAGUGCGGAUGUAUUUUUCACUUUUCUACCCUUUAUACUUUUUGAUAUUUUUGACUUUUUGUGCAAAAAUUUUCCCAUUGAAAUGAAUGGGGAAAUCUUCCAAUUCUUCCUUUUAUUCCUCCACCUUCUCAGCCUUAUAACUUCAGCAUACUUUCACCUAGAGACCUCAUUUUUGCUUUAAAAUGUUCACAAUCUUGUCGACUAUUAUGUUGUAUUGACUUUUUUGUGCUAUCUCCUACAGUUUUUCCACAAUUUAGCUUUAAGCAACUUGUGGUUUUCAGCUAAUUUUCAGGCUUUAUAAUGGGUGUGUAUUGGAGAGUUUAGAGUGAUGAUGUCAUCAGCUAGAGUGCAGACCUCGUCUCUGAUCGACAGAACCUCGCUCGAAUAUAUCGCUCCCACGCCCACAAAUCUCACUCCACUGACACAAAUAAUACAUCAAAAUGGAGGUAUAUGUGUCCUGCUUCUCACAAAAGAGGUUUCAAAUCAUUAAAUCGUACCCCUUGGCCAGCAGGUGACCAACUGUCCAAGGAAGGCGGAAAUCUCUCCCAUUGACCAUAAUGUUAUUUUUCUCCAAGAAAAUCCGAUCAUCGCUCAGGCUCAGACUUUUUUAACUCGCUGUUGUGGCCUCAUUUUUCGAAGUACAGACAUGAAAAAGACAUCAUUGUGUUCAUGAAGGGCGGAGGAUUCGUACGAUGUUCUUAUUUUCAUUCUGUGACUUAAGGAAAUCACGCUAUGUGAAGAAGUUUAGAGCCUCUAAAUCCUCUGCAGUUCAGCUGCUUCUCAUUCAAACAGUAGGUCAGUGAUUUGCCUUUGAUCUCACAGCUGUUUAGGAUGCAGUCAUUAACGAGACACACACACACACACACACACACAUUCUUGUACUUGUUGCUUUAUGAGGUCUACCUUGCAGUUCAGCUGCUUGUACACACAGUUAAUAUGUGUCUGCUUCGCCACCUAUCUCCACCCACAAACUUUGAGCUACAGAAACCAUUCUGGGCUUCUAAAAUUCAGCUCAUUGAAGAUAUUAUGGGGUGUUUUGAGGAUUGUGAUAAUAAAUUGUAUUAAUGUGUUUAGCAGAGUCUUGUGUUCUCACAAGCUCCUUAUCAGGAAUAGAUACAGAGGAUGAGCGUCAGGGCCUACUUGGAGUCCUGUUUCCUCAGCUUCAAGCCUUCUUUCUCCUGCUAUAGUUAUGCAUCCAAGGUCCCCAUGGCAACCAAUUAGUGCACCUGGAGACACACAGCUGACUGGAAAGCUGCUUCUAAUGGCCAUAUGAGACACAUGAAGCCAGGCUCAGCACACAUAGCACUGAGGAUGACACUUAAAACCCUUUACUAGAGCGCUUGAAAAACCUUCAGCCCCUAUCUCCUCACAUGACCUUUGACCUACAGAAACCAUUCAGGGCUUUAAAAUCUAAGCUCAUUGAGGACAUUAUGGGGUGUAUUCAGGAUUUAUAUUCAUUUAAAUUUUUCACAUUUUAAAGUCACUCAGUGAUGAUUUAUCAUUUAAAUUUUUCAAACUAAUUUAAACUCAUUCAAACUGAUUCAAACCUUUCUAAUACUUUAAAAGUUUCUGAUACUUGAAGAUUUUUAAUUAUUUAAAUUUUCCCUGUUUUAAAUUAGUUUUAAUAUUUAUGCAUUACUCCAUCCUUCAAACAAAAUCCUACCUCAAGUACGACAACUACUGCUAAUGUCAAUUAAACUAGUACUUUCCCCUCUACUUCAACUGCUAUUGCUCCUAUUUCUACUUUCUCUACUACUGUGACUUAUACUUCUUUUAUUCUCAAACUACUUCUACUGCUGACAUGACUACUAGUAUCACGACUUGACCUCCUAUACUUCUUCUAGUACUACAACUUAAACUUAUGCCACUUCUCACCUUCCUGCCUUUUAAGGCAAUUUCCUUCUUCAUUCAAACUUUGUGCAAUUUUAAACAUUUUUCUAGCCUCUUUCAGCAUGAAUAAAAUUUCCUUUUAUAGAGCAUAUUCAUACUAUUUGUCCUUCAACCAAUUAAACCAUUAUCCAACUAAUAUUUCUUUUUCACCCCUUCAACAGUUUUAACAUUUAUACCUUUCUCCAUGUUUUAUUAGCAGUUUAGCAUUGCUUUUUCAGCUUUCAGCACUCAGCAUUUCCACGCAUUUUCUGCAAGGAAAUGCAAUUUUUCUAGUUAUUAUUAUUAUUCUUCCGUACCUUUUUUGCAACUUUUCAACUCCUCCAUACUUUGUCCGAUUUCAACCGUUCAACUUUUAAACUAUUCCUCUCCUUCAGGACAAGUGCGGAUGUAUUUUUCACUUUUCUACCCCUUAUACUUUUUGAUAUUUUUGACUUUUUGUGCAAAAAAUUUUCCCAUUGAAAUGAAUGGGGAAAUCUUCAAAUUCUACCUUUUACUCCUCCACCUUCUCAGCCUUAUAACUUCAGCAUACUUUCACCUAGAGACCUCAUUUUUGCUUUAAAAUGUUCACAAUCUUGUCGACUAUUAUGUUGUAUUGACUUUUUGUGCUAUCUCCUACAGUUUUUCCACAAUUUAGCUUUAAGCAACUUGUGGUUUUCAGCAAAUUUCAAGCUUUAUAAUGGGUGUGUAUUGGAGAGUUUAGAGUGAGGAUUUGAAAAGCUAGAGUGCAGACCCCGUCUCUGAUCGACAGAACCUCGCUCGAAUAUAUCGCUCCCACGCCCACAAAUCUCACUCCAGAGCCAUAAAUAAUACAUCAAAAUGGAGGUAUAUGUGUCCUGCUUCUCACAAAAGAGGUUUCAAAUCAUUAAAUCGUACCCCUUGGCCAGCAGGUGACCAACUGUCCAAGGAAGGCGGAAAUCUCUCCCAUUGACCAUAAUGUUAUUUUUCUCCAAGAAAAUCCGGAUCAUCGCUCAGGCUCAGACUUUUUUAACUCGCUGUUGUGGCCUCAUUUUUCGAAGUACAGACAUGAAAAACACAUCAUUGUGUUCAUGAAGGGCGGAGGAUUUGUACGAUGUUCUUAUUUUCAUUCUGGGACUUAAGGAAAUCACGCUAUGUGAAGAAGUUCACAGGCUGAAAUUCACUGCAGUUCAGCACCUCUCAGUCAAACAGUAGGUUAGUGAUUUGCCUUUGAUCUCACAGCUGUUUAGGAUGCAGUCAUUAACGAGACACACACACACACACGCACACACAUUCUUGUACUUGUUGCUUUUUGAGGUCCACCUUGCAGUUCAGCUGCUUGUACACACAGUUAAUAUGUGUCUGCUUCACCACCUAUCUCCACCCACAAACUUUGAGCUACAGAAACCAUUCUGGGCUUCAAAAAUUCAGCUCAUUGAAGAUAUUAUGGGGUGUUUUGAGGAUUGUGAUAAUAAAUUGUAUUAAUGUGUUCAGCAGAGUCUUGUGUUCUCACAAGCUCCUUAUGAAUAUAUACAGAGGGUGAGCGUCAGGGCCUACUUGGAGUCCUGUUUCUUUAGCUUCAAGCCUUCUUUCUCCUGCUAUAGUUAUGCAUCCAAGGUCCCCAUGGCAACCAAUUUGUGCACCUGGAGACACACAGCUGACUGGAAAGCUGCUUCUAAUGGCCAUAUGAGACACAUGAAGCCAGGCUAAGUACACAUAGCACUGGGGAUGACACUUAAAACCCUUUCCUAGAGCGCUUGAAAAAACUUCAGCCCCUAUCUCCUCACAUGACCUUUGACCUACAGAAACCAUUCAGGGCUUUAAAAUUUAAGCUCAUUGAGGACAUUAUGGGGUGUAUUUAGGAUUUAUAUUCAUUUACAUUUUUCACAUUUUAAAGUCACUCAGUGAUGAUUUAUCAUUUAAUUGUUUUUCAAACUAAUUUAAACUCAUUCAAACCUUUCUAAUACUUUUAAACUUUCUGAUACUUGAGGAUUUUUAAUUAUUUAAAUUUUCUGUUUUAAAUUAAUUUUAAUAUUUAUGCAUUAUUCCAUCCUUCAAACAAAAUCCUACCUCAAGUAUUACAACUACUGCUAAUGUCAAUUAAACUAGUACUUUCCCCUCUACUUCAACUGCUAUUGCUCCUAUUUCUACUUUCUCUACUACUUUGACUUAUACUUCUUUUACUCUCAAACUACUUCUACUGCUGACGUGACUACUAGUAUCACGACUUGACCUCUUAUACUACUUCUAGUACUACAACUUAAACUAAUGCCACUUCUCACCUUCCUGCCUUUUAAGGCAAUUUCCUUCUUCAUUCAAACUUUGUGCAAUUUUAAACAUUUUUCUAGCCUCUUUCAGCAUGAAUAAAAUUUCCUUUUAUAGAGCAUAUUCAUACUAUUUGUCCUUCAACCAAUUAAACCAUUAUCCAACUAAUAUUUCUUUUUCACCCCUUCAACAGCUUUAACAUUUAUACCUUUCUCCAUGUUUUAUUAGCAGUUUAGCAUUGCUUUUUCAGCUUUCAGCACUCAGCAUUUCCACGCAUUUUCUGCAAGGAAAUGCAAUUUUUCUAGUUAUUAAGUGGAAAUGCUGAUUAAGCAUUUCCACUUAUUGUUAUUCUCCUAUUUCUUUAUUAUUAUUAUUAUUAUUAUUCUUCCGUACCUUUUUUGCAACUUUUCAACUCCUCCAUACUUUGUCCGAUUUCAACCGUUCAACUUUUAAACUAUUCCUCUCCUUCAGGAAUAGUGCGGAUGUAUUUUUCACUUUUCAACCCCUUAUACUUUUUGAUAUUUUUGACUUUUUGUGCAAAAAAUUUUCCCAUUGAAAUGAAUGGGGAAAUCUUCAAAUUCUGCCUUUUACUCCUCCACCUUCUCAGCCUUAUAACUUCAGCAUACUUUCACCUAGAGACCUCAUUUUUGCUUUAAAAUGUUCACAAUCUUGUCGACUAUUAUGUUGUAUUAACCUUUUUGUGCUAUCUUUUACAGUUUUUCCACAAUUUAGCUUUAUGCAACUUGUGGUUUUCAGCAAAUUUCAAGCUUUAUAAUGGGUGUGUAUUGGAGAGUUUAGAGUGAUGAUGUCAUCAGCUAGAGUGCAGACCUCGUCUCUGAUCGACAGAACCUCGCUCGAAUAUAUCGCUCCCACGCCCACAAAUCUCACUCCACUGACACAAAUAAUACAUCAAAAUGGAGGUAUAUGUGUCCUGCUUCUCACAAAAGAGGUUUCAAAUCAUUAAAUCGUACCCCUUGGCCAGCAGGUGACCAACUGUCCAAAAAAGGCGGAAAUCUCUCCCAUUGACUGUAAUGUUAUUUUUCUCCAAGAAAAUCUGGAUCAUCGCUCAAGCUCAGACUUUUUUUUAACUCGCUGUUGUGGCCUCAUUUUUCGAAGUACAGACAUGAAAAACACAUCAUUGUGUUCAUGAAGGACGGAGGAUUCGUACGAUGUUCUUAUUUUCAUUCUGUGACUUAAGGAAAUCACGCUAUGUGAAGAAGUUCACAGGCUUGAAAUUCACUGCAGUUCAGCACCUCUCAGUCAAACAGUAGGUCAGUGAUUUGCCUUUGAUCUCACAGCUGUUUAGGAUGCAGUCAUUAACGAGACACACACACACACACGCACACACAUUCUUGUACUUGUUGCUUUUUGAGGUCCACCUUGCAGUUCAGCUGCUUGUACACACAGUUAAUAUGUGUCUGCUUCACCACCUAUCUCCACCCACAAACUUUGAGCUACAGAAACCAUUCUGGGCUUGAAAAAUUCAGCUCAUUGAAGAUAUUAUGGGGUGUUUUGAGGAUUGUGAUAAUAAAUUGUAUUAAUGUGUUCAGCAGAGUCUUGUGUUCUCACAAGCUCCUUAUGAAUAUAUACAGAGGGUGAGCGUCAGGGCCUACUUGGAGUCCUGUUUCCUUAGCUUCAAGCCUUCAUUCUCCUGCUAUAGUUAUUGCAUCCAAGGUCCCCAUGGCAACCAAUUUGUGCACCUGGAGACACACAGCUGACUGGAAAGCUGCUUCUAGUGGCCAUAUGAGACACAUGAAGCCAGGCUCAGUACACAUAGCACUGGGGAUGACACUUAAAACCCUUUCCUAGAGCGUUGGAAAAAACUUCAGCCCCUAUCUCCUCACAUGACCUUUGACCUACAGAAACCAUUCAGGGCUUUGAAAUUUAAGCUCAUUGAGGACAUUAUUGGGUGUAUUUAGGAUUGUUAUUCAUUUAAAUUUUUCACAUUUUAAAAGUCAGUCAGUGAUGAUUUAUCAUUUAAUUUUUCAAACUAAUUUAAACUCAUUCAAACUGAUUCAAACCUUUCUAAUACUUCAAAACUUUCUGAUACUUGAGGACUUUUGAUAAUUUAAAAUUUCCCUGUUUUAAAUUAGUUUUAAUAUUUAUGCAUUACUCCAUCAUUCAAACAAAAUCCUACCUCAAGUACGACAACUACUGCUAAUGUCAAUUAAACUAGAACUUUCCCCUCUACUUCAACUGCUAUUGCUCCUAUUUCUACUUUCUUUACUACUUUGACUUAUACUUCUUUUAUUCUCAAUCUACUUCUACUGCUGACAUGACUACUAGUAUCACGACUUGACUUCUUAUCAUACUACUUCUAGUACUACAAUUUAAACUUAUGCCACUUCUCACCUUCCUGCCUUUUAAGGCAAUUUCCUUCUUCAUUCAAACUUUGUGCAAUUUGAGACAUUUUUCUAGCCUCUUUCAGCAUGAAUAAAAUUUCCUUUUAUAGAGCAUAUUCAUACUAUUUGUCCUUCAACCAAUUAAUCAAUUAUCCAACUUAUAUUUCUGUUCACCCCUUCAACAGCUUUAACAUUUAUACCUUUCUCCAUGUUUUAUUAGCAGUUUAGCAUUGCUUUGUUAGCUUUCAGCACUCAGCAUUUCCACGCAUUUUCUGCAAGGAAAUGCAAUUUUUCUAGUUAAGUGGAAAUGCUGAUUAAGCAUUUCCACUUAUUGUUAUUCUCCUGUUUCUUUAUUAUUAUUAAGUGGAAAUGCUGAUAGGCAUUUCCACUUAUUGUUAUUCUCCUGUUUCUUUAUUAUUAUUAUUAUUAUUAUUCUUCCGCCGUUUUUUGUCGCUUUUCAACUCCUUCAAACUUUGUGCGAUUUCAACCGUUCAAACUUUAAACUAUUCCACUCCUUCAGGACAUGUUUGCUAUUAUUUUUUACCUUUCUACCUUUUAUACUUUUUGUUUUUUUUAACUUUUUGUGCAAAAAUUUUAACAUUGAAGUCAAUGGGGAAAUCUUCCACUUCUUCCUUUUAUUCUUCCACCUUCUAGACCUUAUAACUUCAGCAUACUUUCACCUAGAGACCUCAUUUUUGCUUUAAAAUGUUCAUUCACUUGUCGACUAUUAUAGUUGUACUCAGUUUUUUGAUAUCUCUUACAGUUUUUCCACAAUUUAGCUUUAAGCAACUUGUGGUUUUCAGCAAAUUUCAAGCUUUAUAAUGGGUGUGUAUUGGAGAGUUUAGAGUGAUGAUGUCAUCAGCUAGAGUGCAGACCUCGUCUCUGAUCGACAGAACCUCGCUCGAAUAUAUCGCUCCCACGCCCACAAAUCUCACUCCACUGACACAAAUAAUACAUCAAAAUGGAGGUAUAUGUGUCCUGCUUCUCACAAAAGAGGUUUCAAAUCAUUAAAUCGUACCCCUUGGCCAGCAGGUGACCAACUGUCCAAAAAAGGCGGAAAUCUCUCCCAUUGACCAUAAUGUUAUUUUUCUCCAAGAAAAUCCGGAUCAUCGCUCAGGCUCAGACUUUUUUAACUCGCUGUUGUGGCCUCAUUUUUCGAAGUACAGACAUGAAAAACACAUCAUUGUGUUCAUGAAGGACGGAGGAUUCGUACGAUGUUCUUAUUUUCAUUCUGUGACUUAAGGAAAUCACGCUAUGUGAAGAAGUUUAGAGCCUCUAAAUCCUCUGCAGUUCAGCUGCUUCUCAUUCAAACAGUAGGUCAGUGAUUUGCCUUUGAUCUCACAGCUGUUUAGGAUGCAGUCAUUAACGAGACACACACACACACACACACACACACAUUCUUGUACUUGUUGCUUUAUGAGGUCUACCUUGCAGUUCAGCUGCUUGUACACACAGUUAAUAUGUGUCUGCUUCGCCACCUAUCUCCACCCACAAACUUUGAGCUACAGAAACCAUUCUGGGCUUCAAAAAUUCAGCUCAUUGAAGAUAUUAUGGGGUGUUUUGAGGAUUGUGAUAAUAAAUUGUAUUAAUGUGUUUAGCAGAGUCUUGUGUUCUCACAAGCUCCUUAUCAGGAAUAGAUACAGAGGAUGAGCGUCAGGGCCUACUUGGAGUCCUGUUUCCUUAGCUUCAAGCCUUCUUUCUCCUGCUAUAGUUAUGCAUCCAAGGUCCCCAUGGCAACCAAUUUGUGCACCUGGAGACACACAGCUGACUGGAAAGCUGCUUCUAAUGGCCAUAUGAGACACAUGAAGCCAGACUCAGCACACAUAGCACUGGGGAUGACACUUAAAACCCUUUACUAGAGCGCUUGAAAAAACUUCAGCCCCUAUCUCCUCACAUGACCUUUGACCUACAGAAACCAUUCAGGGCUUUAAAAUUUGAGCUCAUUGAGGACAUUAUGGGGUGUAUUUAGGAUUUAUAUACAUUUAGAUUUUUCACAUUUUAAAGUCACUCAGUGAUGAUUUAUCAUUUAAUUUUUCAAACUAAUUUGAACUGAUUCAAACUGAUUCAAACCUUUCUAAUACUUAAAAAAUUAAACUUAUGCCACUUCCCACCUUCCUGCCUUUUAAGGCAAUUUCCUUCUUCAUUCAAACUUUGUGCAAUUUUAGACAUUUUUCUAGCCUCUUUUAGCAUGAAUAAAAUUUCUUUUUAUAGAGCAUAUUCAUACUAUUUUUCCUCAACCAAUUAAUCAAUUAUCCAACUUACAUUUCUUUCACACCCCUUCAACAGCUUUAACAUUUAUACAUUUCUCCAUGUUUUAUUAGCAGUUUAGCAUUGCUUUUUCAGCUUUCAGCACUCAGCAUUUCCACGCAUUUUCUGCAAGGAAAUGCAAUUUUUCUAGUAUUAUACUUAACACUCUCCCCAUACGUUUCUUUGGACCGCUUCUCCUCCUUCAAACUUUGUCCGAUUUCAACCGUUCAAACUUUAAACUAUUACACUCCAUCGGGACAUGAUGGCUAUUACUUUUCUCUUUCCUACCCUUUAUACUUUUUAUUAUUUUUCACUUUUUGUCUCAAACUUUUUUUCCCAUAGAAAUGAAUGGGGAAAUCUUCCAAUUCUUCUUUUUCUUCUUCCACCUUCUAAGCCUUAUAACUUCAGCAUACUUUCACCUAGAGACCUCAUUUUUGCUUUAAAAUGUUCAUUGUCUUGUCGACUAUUGAUGUUCUAUUAACCUUUUUGUGCUAUCUUCUACAGUUUUCCCCCAAUUUAGCUUGAAGCACCUCGUGGUUUUCAGCAAAUUUUCAGGCUUUAUAAUGGGGGUGUAUUUGAGAGGCUAGAGUGAUGAUUUGAAAAGCUAGAGUGCAGACCUCGUCUCUGAUCGACAGAACCUCGCUCAAAUAUAUCGCUCCCACGCCCACAAAUCUCACUCCACAGCCAUAAAAAAUACAUCAAAAUGGAGGUAUAUGUGUCCUGCUUCUCACAAAAGAGGUUUCAAAUCAUUAAAUCGUACCCCUUGGCCAGCAGGUGACCAACUGUCCAAAAGGCGGAAAUCUCUCCCAUUAGACCUAAUGUUAUUUCUUCUCCAAGAAAAUCCGGAUUAUCCCCACUCAGGCUCAGACUUUUUUAACUCGCUGUUGUGGCCACAUUUUUCGGAGUACAGACAUGAAAAAGACAUCAUUGUGUUCAUGAAGGCGGAGGAUUCGUACGAUGUUCUUAUUUUCAUUCUGGGACUUAAGGAAAUCACGCUAUGUGAAGAAGUUCAGAGGCUAUAAAUCCUCAGCAGUUCAGCACCUCUCAGUCAAACAGUAGGUCAGUAAUUUGCCUUUGAUCUCACAGCUGUUUAGGAUGCAAUCAUUAACGAGACACACACACACACACACACACACACACACACACACACACACACACACACACACACAUUCUUGUACUUGUUGCAUUGUCAGGUCUACCUUGCAGUUCAGCUGCUUGUACACAGGUAUUAUGUGUCUGCUUCACCACCUAUCUCCACCCACAAACUUUGAGCUACAGAAACCAUUUUGGGCUUGAAAAAUUCAGCUCAUUGAAGAUAUUAUGGGGUGUUUUGAGGAUUGUGAUAAUAAAUUGUAUUAAUGUGUUCAGCAAAAUCUUGUGUUCUCACAAGCUCCUUAUCAUGAAUAUAUACAGACGAUGAGCGUCAGGGCCUACUUGGAGUCCUGUUUCCUUAGCUUCAAGCCUUCUUUCUCCUGCUAAAGUUAUUCAUCCAAGGUCCCCAUGGCAACCAAUUUGUGCACCUGGAGACACACAGCUGACUGGAAAGCUGCUUCUAAUGGCCAUAUGAGACACAUGAAGCCAGGCUCAGUACACAUAGCACUGGGGAUGACACUUAAAACCCUUUCCUAGAGCGCUUGAAAAAACCUAAGCCCGUAUCUCCUCACAUGACCUUUGACCUACAGAAACCAUUUAGGGCUUUAAAAUUUAAGCUCAUUGAGGACAUUAUGGGGUGUAUUCAGGAUUUAUAUUCAUUUACAUUUUUCACUUUUAUAAGUCACUCAUUGAUGAUUUAUCAUUUAAUUUUUCAAACUAAUUUAAACUCAUUCAAACUGAUACUUGAGGAUUUUUAAGUAUUUAAAUUUUCCAUGUUUUAAAUUAGUUUUAAUAUUCAUGCAUUACUCCAUCCUUCAAACAAAAUCCUACCUCAAGUACGACAACUACUGCUAAUGUCAAUUAACUAGUACUUUCCCCUCUACUUCAACUGCUAUUGCUCCUAUUUCUACUUUCUCUACUUCAACUGCUAUUGCUAUAGUUCUUUUAUUCUCAAACUACUUCUACUGCUGACAUGACUACUAGUAUCACGACUUGACUUCUUAUCAUACUACUUCUAGUACUACAACUUAAACUUAUGCCACUUCUCACCUUCCUGCCUUUUAAGGCAAUUUCCUUCUUCAAUCGAACUUUGUGCAAUUUUAGACAUUUUUCUAGCCUCUUUAAGCAUGAAUCAAAUUUCCUUUUAUAGAGCAUAUUCAUACUAUUUGUCCUUACUUACUAUACUUCUUUUUCACCCCUUCAACAGCUUUAACAUUUAUACCUUUCUCCAUGUUUUAUUAGCAGUUUAGCAUUGCUUUUUCAGCUUUCAGCACUCAGCAUUUCCACGCAUUUUCUGCAAGGAAAUGCAAUUUUUCUAGUUAUUAUUAUUAUUCUUCCGCCGUUUUUUGUCGCUUUUCAACUCCUUCAAACUUUGUGCGAUUUGAACCGUUCAAACUUUAAACUAUUCCACUCCUUCAGGACAUGUGUGCUUGUAUUUUUUACCUUUCUACCUUUUAUACUUUUUGUUUUUUUGAACUUUUUGUGCAAAAAUUUUAACAUUAAAGUCAAUGGGGAAAUCUUCCACUUCUUCCUUUUAUUCUUCCACCUUCUAGACCUUAUAACUUCAGCAUACUUUCACCUAGAGACCUCAUUUUUGCUUUAAAACGUUCAUUCACUUGUCGACUAUUACAGUUGUACUCAGUUUUUUGAUAUCUUUUACAGUUUUUCCACAAUUUAGCUUUAAGCAACUUGUGGUUUUCAGCAAAUUUCAGGUUUUAUAAUGGGUGUGUAUUGGAGAGCUUAGAGUGAUGAUGUCAUCAGCUAGAGUGCAGACCUCGUCUCUGAUCGACAGAACCUCGCUCGAAUAUAUCGCUCCCACGCCCACAAAUCUCACUCCAGAGCCAUAAAUAAUACAUCAAAAUGGAGGUAUAUGUGUCCUGCUUCUCACAAAAGAGGUUUCAAAUCAUUAAAUCGUACCCCUUGGCCAGCAGGUGACCAACUGUCCUAAAAAGGCGGAAAUCUCUCCCAUUGACCAUAAUGUAAUUUUUCUCCAAGAAAAUCCUUAUCGUCACUCAGGCGCAGACUUUUUUAACUCGCUGUUGUGGCCACAUUUUUCGGAGUACAGACAUGAAAAACACAUCAUUGUGUUCAUGAAGGGCGGAGGAUUCGUACGAUGUUCUUAUAUUCAUUCUGGGAUUUAAGGAAAUCGUGCUAUGUGAAGAAGUUCAGGGCCCUAAAUUCACUGCAGUUCAGCUGCUUCUCCAUUCAAACAAUAGGUCAGUGAUUUGCCUUUGAUCUCACAGCUGUUUAGGAUGCAAUCAUUAACGAGCUACACACACACUCAGCCAAUGUGUGUGCGUCAGCCUCCUUCUCUCUAUGAGACCUUCAAGUACACACAGUAAAUAUGUCCAUGCGUGAGUCUCUCUCUGUCUAUGAGACCUGAACACACUUUGACCAUGUGGCUGCUUCACCACCUAUCUUCUCUCACAAACUUUGAGAUACAGACACAUUUUGGGCUUCAGAAAUUCUGCUCAUUGAGGACAUUAUGGAGUCUACAGAGGAUUUCUAUUCAUUUAAAUUGUCCUUAAUUUAAAAUCACUCAUUAUUUGUGCAUUUUUCAAUUCUUCUAAUAAAUUUAAACUCAUUCUUAUUCAAACCUUUCUAAUACUUUAGGAUUUUUUAUUAGUUAUAUUUUCCCCACUUUAAAUCAUUUUUACUAUUCAUGCAUAUUUCAAUUAUUCAACCAAAAUCCCACUUCCACUUCUACAACUACUACUUACAUCACUUCUACUUAAACUAGUCUUGCUACUAUUAGUACUAGAAAACAAUUAAAAUGAAUUGAUUGAACGACUGCCUUUCCGUGGUGUGAAGUAUGACAUUUCCGAGUGUCCCUGAACGCCUCAAACAUUUCUACCGUGACUUACGGGUGGCUCGCGCUAUCCUUCUCCUACCUCGACGAAGGUGAGUCAGAGCACAGUCUCUCUAACUUCUGAACACUUCAAACUGUGAUUUAACGUUUCAAAUGGCACUGGUUUGAGUUAUAAUCAAUGAAGAGUUCAUUCAUGAUUGAAGUGGUCGAGAUAAUGAGUUGAAAAAGCGUACGCUAACGCUGUUAGCGUCGAGUUAGCGCCGCUAGCGUCGAGCUAGCGCCGCUAGCGUCGAGCUAACAUUAAAGCUAACAUACCGUCAGCUGUGAGGCUGAAUCAUUAGCCAGCUGAGCACAAAAUGAAGUGAAUAUGUAAGCCGCUGCGCUACUAUAAAGCAUGCCAAAUGAUGUACAGGCUGUGGAGUUUACUGACAAUGGGACUGACAAGAAUACUCAUAUUGUCAAGUAUUAACUGACUAACUAGCUAACUAAUGACGCUAGUACCAUUGCUACAGGUUCAGUUCAUUACUGUGACUGAGUCAUUGCUGGGGAACUGGUCUGGAGACGUCAGCUGUUUAGCUCCUGGUCACUUUUUAUCAGCCAUUGUAGAUGUAUUUAAAUAUAGGCUGCAUUUAGCAAGCAUCCAGUUAUAACACAAAUGUGAGUGGUUUUUCUUUUUUUGUGUGUCAGAAUGGACCUAGAUGGUCCUCUAUUAUUGAAGGUUUUAUUCAUGAUGGGGAUGAUAGAGAUAUUUACAUUGCAAAACAUAAAAUUAAUUCAGUAUUUAAUGUUUAACAAUACCAAGUUCCAAUUAAUAAAUAUAUUCCAGUUGAAUUUCCCUUUAGGGAUCUAUAAAGUUCUUAAUAUUGAGUUAAUUAAUGGAUAUUUAGCUGCCUUGAAGUUGGUGAACCUGUGCCUGGUUUGUCUCUGUCUCACUGGCUGCUGCUGUACCUCACCUUCUACUGUACCUAACAUAUCUUUGAUCACAAGCUGUUAAUUUGGAUAUUGGUGAUGUGCUAACACCACAGCAAAGAUGCUUUAUCUGAGGUAUAAAUACUGUAAUACAGUAUGUAUUAUGUGACUUUUUCAGCUACAGCUAACAGCCAGGUGAUCUGUUGGAGCUGUUUAGUUUUCAAUUAGUCCAAUUACUGUAAUAAUGUUAGUUUUCUUAAAAGGCCUAUUGUUUUUAAUGUACUAUCUGUCAGACAACACUAAUGUAUUGUUUCUUGUCUCAAACAAACAGAAGAUACAUCCACUCCAGUGCAUUUGUUGGUAAGUAUCAGUGUUUUAACCAAGACUAACAACAGUCAAAAUAAAAAUAACCGCAUUAAUGUAAAGUUUAAUCCUGUUGAACAACUUGAUAUUCAAGAUAAUGUAAAAUAUAUGAUGCAUUUCUCAAAUACUGAGUUCAAAGUGAUAUGAAAUGUUGAUCUAUGUGUAACACUGUUGCAUAUACCAUAUGAGAAAUAGAGAUGGGAUACAGUUUUUUCCUUGUAGACAACCUUGUGCUAACAAUAUUACUACACUACUAAAUUAAUGUUUUGGAUCAUUUUAACUUGCAGGGAAAGUCUGAAUCUUAAUUUUGACAAUUAAGUGGGAAAAUCAUUCAGGAAAAGUACUUUAAAUGAAGUGAGCUGUGAGAGAGGCUCUUUUGACUGUAUUAAAAAUCUCUUCCUCUCUCUCCCCCUCCUCCUGCCUCAUCUUGUCCUCUGACCUGGGCGAAAAUCCCUACCAACUCUGAAGUGUAAGUUCACACUUGCGUAUACUUAUUUAGCAAUCACUCAAAUGUUACAUUUUUGCUCCGUAGUUUAUAAUGACAUAUCACGGUUUUGUAUUUCACCUCAUCAACAUACAGAAGAAAGUAAAGAGGUCUUUCAUCGUGUUUGUGCAUUGUCUCUCCAUUUUAACAAACAUUUUUUACAGGCCAAGGGAGCUGCAGUAACAUCCUUUUAUUAAUCAAGUGCGACAAAUUGUAGAGUUUGAUAAGAAAUGAGAAAACUAAUGAUCCACACUGAAAAACGGUUGUGAUUACAAUAAACUUUGAGAUGCUGAUUUUUUAUUUUUUAUUUUUUGCAACUAAAUUACAUUUUUUUUGUCCCUCCGUCUUCUCCCUCUUACUGAACUCCUCAACGCUAUUUCUACUGCGGGCCCUGUUCACUGUUGGCAACUCAGCUGUAAGUUCACAAAUAAAGUAACUUUAAAAUAUAUUUUCACUGUUACUUUUUGCAACACAUUAUCUAAAAACCUGACCUAAAUAACACUUUAUUUUAACUAAUGCAGAACCAAAUGUAAAUAAUUUUGCUGGCUGAUCACAGGUGGAAUUACAAUGCAGUGAGAUGUGCUGGUUUUGUACAAUUAAACUAAAAAUCUCUUGUCUCUGUUUUUCCAUUUUCCUUCUUGCCAACUCGAUACUGUCUCCAAGUGCAGACCGCUUUGUUGCGACUCGGCGUAAGUUAACACAGGAAUGACAUUUUCAUGAGUAACACAGUUUAUUAUUUAUUAACAUUUAUUGUUACAUUAUUCGACGCAUGAUAGACCCCUCAUCAUGUACUCACUUAACAUUUUUUUUACUUUGAUUAUGUAAUACUCACAGUUGGAAACAAACACCAUUGAAUUAUUGGUAGCAAUUUGUUACUAUAAAAUUGUGGGGUUGUAAUUUUUUAAUGAUGAAAAUUUGAAUAAUUACUAAUUGAAUGUGAUUCCUUCCUUUGUGCAUGUUUUAUAUUUUUAAAAAAAAUCAUUUAAUUUUCCUUCAUAUGGAAUUAGACAAUUAUUAUCUAAACCACCAUUGAAUUAUUAUAUUAGUCAUUUAAUUAUACAUUUGCAAACGUGUAUAGGGGAGAGUGGGGUAAGUUGAGCCGAAGGGUAAGUUGAGCCACCCCCUGUUGCUUGGAAAUGGUAAAACAAAUUGAUCAUAUGACCAAGUAUUUAGGAGAUGGGCAUCAAUUCAUGGAGUCUGUGAAGGGGUUAGACAUUAAUAAAAAAAAACAAAAAACAUUUUUCAGUCUUGAAAGUGAAUUUAGUCUGUCAUAAGUUUUAUUGAAUUGUGUUCAGACCAAAAAAGAUCGUUUUAAAAUUCUUUUAUCCAUCAAUUGUAUCUAUGAGCUACAACAUAAAAGUCCACCAUUUUAGCUUAGAGGACUAAUAAAGUCAUAAUAGUAGUUCUGGGGUAAGUUGAGCCAGUGUCUUAACUGAGAAAUUAAAGGAGUAUGAUGAGAGGAUCAGAGUUUCAGUUCAGAUUGUUGAAAUGUGUUACUUUUUCUUUUCAGACAUAUAGCUGCGAAUGUUCUGAAUCACUUAAAGGCAUUCUCAUGUUAAAAUGACUUUUUACAAAACAGCUUUUUAUCAGUUAUAUGGAAUAAGAAUAAAAGAGUUAUUGUAUCAGUUGAAUAGCAUAUAAUAGAUAAAAAUACUCAUGAAUGUGAAGAAGUGACUGUCAUACAUGGGGUAAGUUCACCAUAGAGACCACUUUUUUUUUUUUUUGGCAUGCUAUGUUAUCAAGACAGUUCUGUUUACACUCAUUCUGUUGGUUUGCAGGGAUGCACAACAUCCUGAAAUAUAUGCAGAUACACUAGUUAGAGACAAAACUAUGAUUGACUUGAUGUAGUGAUCGGGAAUAUGAAAAAUGGCUCAUCUUACCCCACUCUCCCCUAUCCCUCUAAGGUACCUUGCAUGCUUCUGAGCUGCUUGGCCUCAUUACAACUUACUAUAUUGUAGAAAUGCUUUAAACACUAAAAAGGAAAUUGUGUUUUCCAAAACACAUUAAUAUUUCAUCAACAGAGUAAUCCAUUGUUAUUAUUGCUCACCAAGACAUGGUUAUGAACAUUAUAAAGGGAAGUUUGAAUGAUUUUGAAGAGUGUAAAAUAUGCAGGCAUAAAAGAUCUUUUUGUAAAAUACUUUAAGCUCCUGAAUACAUUUUUAAUGAACUCUUAUGAACACUUAGUCCUUAUUAAUUCUAUUGAAGGGUUAUCUAAGAAGACAAUGGCCAAUUCCAGCUUUUGACUCAACUUGACUUUUGAUAGAUGUAUAGUUAAAGACAGCCAUUUGGUGGGUUGAGUAAAAGCACAUUAUAAUGGCAUUAGCUUUGGGUGAAUGUUAGUUCAUCUUAUUUUAUUUCUUUUAUAAAAAAAGAUUAAUGUUUGUUUCCAUUGUGUCUUACAGGUAUCCUGUCCAGUCUCCCAGCUCUCCCCUAUCAUUUUGGCCGCUCUGACUUUCCUGUCUUCUCUACCACUCUGUCUAAUUGAAAAGCCACUCUGUCUUGUGUCCCCCUUUUCUCUAUCCCUCUAGCUAAAUUUUGGACGCUCUGACUUUCCUGUCUCCUCUACCGCUCUAUCUAAUUGAAAAGCCACUCUGUCUUCUGCCCCCUUUUCUCUAUCCCUCUAGCUACAUUUUGGCUGCUCUGACUUUCCUGUCUUCUCUACCGCUCUAUCUGAUUGACAAGCCUUCAGAAACCUAUAUAAAAGCCUUUGAGAAACCUAUAUAAAAGCCUUUGAGAAACCUAUAUAAAAGCCUUUCAGAAACCUAUAUAAAAGCCUUUCAGAAACCUAUAUAAAAGCCUUUCAGAAACCUAUAUAAAAGCCUUUCAGAAACCUAUAUAAAAGCCUUUCAGAAACCUAUUGAAAUUGCCUUUAUUGAAAAACCAUCUUAUGAAACUGCUUCCAUUGAGAAACCUUUUGAAACACCAUUUUUGAGAAACAUUUUAUUAAACCCUUUUUGAGAAACAUUUUGAUAAACCAUUUUUGAGGAACCUUUAUAAACCAUUUUUGAUAAACCCUUUUUGAGAAACCUCUGAUAAACCUUUUGUAACACCAUUUUUGAGAAACCUUUUGAUAAACUGUUUUUGAGAAACCUUUUGAUUAACCUUUUUUGAGAAACAUUUUGAUACUGUUUUUGAGAAGCCUUUAGAUAAACCGUUUUUGAUUAACCGUUUUGAGAAACAUUUUGAUAAACCGUUUUUGAUUAACCGUUUUUGAGAAACAUUUUGAUAAACCGUUUUUGAGAAACAUUUUGAUAAACCGUUUUUGAGAAACAUUUUGAUAAACCGUUUUUGAGAAACAUUUUGAAACACCAUUUUGAGAAACCUUUUGAAACAGUUGUUCUUCUAAUACAACCAUUAUUUUGAAAAAUCCCUAAUUUUGCAAAAGUCUGAUUGUUGUUCUAGGUUUUCCUCUCCUGUCUGUGGAUCCAGCAUUUCACCAGAAGAAGUGUCAUCAGCACAACCACAUCUGCAUCCCUGAUUUUGAAAGAACAUAAAAACACAUUUCAUAUAGAGUAUUUGAGUUAGAUAUUAUUUCAAGCACAAAGUCUGAAGAUUUACAAAUUGUUGCUGAUUUGUGUUUUUUCUGUUAAUCUUUAUAUAGUCUUGCCUAGGAUUUUCUUAUAAAACAUUUGAUAAACUAUUAUUGG
rnacentral:lncRNA from 1 species